rnacentral:lncRNA from 1 species
AAGAAAAGUGUGAGGAUCCACCAUCUAUCAUGACUUUUCUACUUAUUUUUUUCAUUUCUUUCCUCUUCUUCCUCACUUCACUAUUAGUAUUCAUUAGGUUCCUUAAUCCAUUUUCAAUCUCAUGAGCACUUACAACAUAAUCACUAUCCUUAUUAUAAUCUAUUUUAAUUUCUACUGCCAAUCCCAAAUCUUGCACCAUUUGAAAUGCGUUGAUUUGUUGUUCUGCAUACAUUGACCAAGUGGCUACAGGAACACCAUACCAUAUGCUUUCUAGCAAAGAAUUCCAUCCACAAUGAGAUACAAAUCCUCCGACAGCUGAGUGGGCUAAAACUGCUAUCUGUGGAGCCCAUCCAAUCACCUUUCCAAUUCUAGCCGCCCGAUGUAAAAAUCCUUCUGGUAGAACUUCCUCAAUAUUUUCAUAGCCGCUUGAAAAUUCCAUUUUACCCUUUUGGGGAGGUUGGCGAAGGGACCACAAGAAGCGAUGCCCGCUGUGCUCUAACCCAUAUGCUAUCUCCUUGAUCUGAUCUGCACCAAAGCUUCCCCUGCUCCCGAAGCACAGGAAAAUCACAGACGAUGGAGGCUGAUCGUCAAGCCAACUCAUGGUGGCACUGGCAUCUUGUUGACCCCCACCAGAUCCCAUUCGGGUGUUGAGUAUGGGUCCAACGGGAUACACCUCGGGUACUGUACUGCCAGAAAGUGAUUGAAUAGCAUGUGAUUCAAGCUCAAUAAACGUAUUUACCAGAAUACCCUUGACUUCUCUGAAUCUCCUCGUGUGAUACAGAAGCAUCUCAGCCCCUCCGUUUUCCUUCUCAAACAUCCAAGCAGGGAAGACCUUACCCGGAACUGAGUUAACAAAAGUCAGAACACCCAACUCAGCAUCCGAGUCCUUGAACUCAUUAAUAUCCAAGCCCUCAUAAUCAUGGAGGAACUGAACAUGUAACAGGAAGCCAAGAAAAGCAGCGCCGGAAGGGAAGAACAGAUAGGAAGGCACCCCAAACUCAUCGGCCACGUCAAUCAUGUGGGUGCAAAACAUAUCAAUAACGAACCCAGAGAGCCGAACCGAGUUGGAGCGAGUGAGCUCGUGGACGGCGUCUCGGACGAGUGGUAUGUGAACUUUGAGGAAUUCAGAGAAGAAGUGACCAGACGGGGUCGUUUCGGAGCUGACCUCUACAGGAGGAAGUGUGACGAAACGUAUGGAAUCAGAGUCCGUGUCCAUACCAUCAGUGGACCCAAACGGAAACUUCAUGAUGAAAAUCGUGAUUGAGAAUCGGGGCUCUCGCUUAGUAAUCAGCUUUGCAAUCUCCAGUGCAGACGCAAGGUGGCCGAUGAUAGGAAAUGGUAUGAAGACCAGCUCAGUUUGCUCCAUCACUAACUAGCAGUUACUGCAAAGAGAGAAAAAAGGGAUGUUUCGAGGGCUUUGCGGUGGGGUCACACUCUUAUACUAGUGGCUGGAUAGUCAGGUCUUAGCUGGUUCAAUGUAUUUUCUUUAUUGUUUUAGAAUGAUUUGUGGUUGGCGUUGGUUGAAGAUUGAGGCAAAAUGGGUGGUUCCAAUAUGCUACACCUGUCACAUAAAGUUCUUCGAGAUAUUUGGGCCAAAAUUUGUAAAGCCAACCUCAAUUGGUUUAAAGUUCCGUAAAUAAAAAUUUCAAAGGAAUAAAAAUAUCUUAAUAUUUAAAAAAAAAAAUUGCUUUAGCAUAUAUGAAUGAUAUUUUUAAUAAAAAAAUAUUAUUAUUUUCGAUAUUUAAAAAAAAUAAAGAGAAUGAUUUGAAUUAGAGAUUUUUUUAAUCAUUUUAAUCAAAUAUCUCAAUUUUCCUUUUUGUUUUUAUAAUGGUUUUUCAUUAGACAAACAAAAUAAGUAAGAAAUAUUAUCUUGAUAUUAGAAACAUAUUACGGGGCAAUACUCACAAUUUUCUAUACAUAAAUAGGAUAUAUUAAAUUAAUCAAUUUUAAAUCUAUUCAAAUUGAUUCCAUUAUCGUAUAAGUUGAUUGUUGGGAUUUAAUUAUUACUUUUGAUCAACGAGAAAUUAUACAAGUCAUAAUUCCAAAGAUAUUCAAUCACAUAAGAAUAUAAAAAAAUAUUAAAAAAAAAACUCUUACAAAAAUUGUCUCCGCCAAUUUAGAUACAAAAACUUAAGCACAAUAUUAAAAAUCCACUAAAUAUAAAAGAAUGUACACAUUUUACCUAACACAAAUACUUCUUUUUAUAAAUGUUAUGUCAAUCAACACUUGUGCAUAUUCAUCAUAUCUACAAUGCAAUAUUUUCCCAUGCUCCUUAGUGGAUCAGCUCAAACCCAUAUUAUGGCUUUGGUGCUCAAAUUUCGAUCUUUGCUUUUCAUCCUAAUUGAAAGGACUCUCAAGAUUUACUUUUCAGUCUUGAUUUUGACUUUUUGAAGUAUAGGCACUAGGAAAAAUAACGGUUGUCUUGUGGAUUUUCUUAGGGUUUUUUUAUUUAUUUUUGUUCAAAUUGAUAAAUGAUAGUUUUUUCAUUCAUCUUUUCAUUCGUUCAUGUACAGAGUAUAUAUAGAGGGAAUCACCAUUCUAAGAAUGGGAAAGAAUGAUACAAGGAAAGAAUGACAUAAGGAAAUAACAAUUAAUAUCCUAAUAUCUCUUAAUAUUCAUAAUAUCUCAACUUUCCUAAUAUCUAAACAUUCCUAAUAUCUCAACACUAAAUGAUAUAAGAAAAUAAUGAUAUAAGGAAAGCAUUCCUAAUAUCUCAACACUCCCCCUCAAGUUGGUGCAUAGAUGUCACACAUGCCCAACUUGUCUAAAAAUUUUGAGAACACUUGACUUGAGACAGCUUUGGUAAGGAUAUCGGCCAAUUGAUCUUCUGAUCGAAUCUUAGGCAAUUCCACAAUCUUAUCAUCCAACUUUUCCUUAAUGAAGAAUCUAUCCACCUCGACAUGCUUUGUAUGAUCAUGUUGUACUGGAUUAUGAGCAAUGUCACACGUGGCUUUAUUGUCACAAAACAAUCGGAUUGGUUGCCUAGAUAGGUAACCUAAAUCCUGUAAGAGGAGUCUUAGCCAUAAUGCCUCACAAAGUCCUAGAGUCAUACCUCUAAAUUCCGCUUCUGCACUUGAACGAGCGAUGACAUUUUGCUUCUUACUUUUCCAUGUUACAAGAUUACCACCUACAAAGGUAAAGUAACCAGAUGUAGAUCGCCUAUCAUCCACUGCACCGGCCCAAUCAACAUCAGUAUAUACUUCUAUACUUUGAUGAUCAACAUUUUUAGCGAACAAAAUUCCCUUCCUAGGAGCAUUCUUCAAAUACCUCAAAAUACGCAUGACUGCAUUCAUAUGUUGCUCUCCAGGAUUAUGCAUGUAUUGACUCACUACACUCAAUGCAUAAGCAAGAUCUGGUCUUGUAUGAGCUAAGUACAUUAAUCUCCCCACAAGUCUCAGGUAUCUUCCCUUAUCAGUUGAUACUUGAUUAGGCUCAACAUACAAUUUCAGACCUUCUUCUAUUGGUGUAUUAACAGGUUGACAUCCCGACAUUCCAGUCUCCUGUAAAAGAUUUAAGGCAUACUUUCUUUGAGACAGAAAAAUUCCUUCACUUGAUCGAGAAACUUCAAUCCCAAGAAAGUAUUUUAGAGGACCUAGAUCUUUUAUUUCGAAUUCUCUAGAUAGAUAAUUUUGCAGAGCUUUUCUUUCUUCAGGAUCAUUUCCUGUAACUACCAUGUCAUCCACAUAUACGAUGAGUGUCGUAAUCUUACCAUGUUGCUUUUUCAGGAAUAAAGUGUGAUCUGAAUUACUUUGAUGAUAGCCAAAAGCUCUCAUUGACUUUGUGAACCUUCCAAACCAUGCUCUCGGGGAUUGCUUCAACCCAUACAAUGACUUCUUCAAUUUGCACACCUUCUGACAUUGCUUUUCUGACACCAUGCAUCCUGGUGGAAGAUCCAUAUAUACUUCUUCAGAUAACUCGCCAUGUAGAAAGGCAUUUUUCACAUCAAAUUGUUGUAAUGGCCAAUUUAGGUUUGCAGCUAAAGACAGUAAUACUCGAACUGUGUUAAUCUUAGGUACAGGUGCAAAUGCCUCUGUAUAGUCAAUACCAUCUGCCUUGUACUUUACAGUAUAGAUCCAACGACACCCAACUGGCUUCUUUCGUGGUGGACAUUCUACGAGUUCCCAUGUUUCAUUCUUCUGCAAUGAUUUCAUCUCUUCAUUCAUGGCUGCUUUCCACCUUGGAUCAGCUAAGGCUUCCUGCACACUGUUAGGAAUAGCUACAGUAGAUAAUUGAUUUACAAAUGACUUGUUUGAUUCAGACAAACGAUGGUUAGACACAUAGUUGCUCAUGGGAUACUUGACUUUAGUAGACAAUUCAGGUUCAUAUGUGGGUUUAGGAAUACCUCUAUUAUGACGGUGUGGUAUCCGUUUCAUGAAUGGAUCAGGUUUCAAAUUAAGAACACCCUCAACAGACGACGAUUGGUUUGGUAUUUCAGUGAAGACAUCUUCGGACCCAAAUUGUUGACCACUCACAUCUAACUCACCCACUUCCUAGUUCACUAGUUCAGAUUGUCUAGAUUCAUCUUCCUCAGAUAUCUGAUAAUCAUAAUCGAGAGUCUGAAUUUCCUUAUGGUACUCCCCCUGAAGUUCAGACUCAGAUGAAAAAUACAUCGAAUCUUCAUGAAACACCACAUCCAUUGUAAUAUACAUUUGUCGAGUUGGAGGAUGGUAACAUCGAUAUCCCUUUUUGUGCAAUGCAUAUCCAACAAACACACAUUGUAAUGCAUGAGAAGUUAGCUUGGUGCGUUGGUGCUUGUGUAGAUGCACAAAUGCCACACAACCAAAAACACGAGGAGGUAGAUUUGGGACGGUUGGGGCAACUACGACAUUAAUAAGAGCUUGGAGUGGUGUUUGAAAGUUAAUUGAGCUAGAAGGUACCCGAUUGAUCAAGUAUGCGGCAGAUGUGAUUGCUUCUCCCCAAUAAGAUAUCGGUGUUUUUGCUGCUAUCAAGGAAGCACGAACAACCUCUAACAAGUGCCGAUUUUUUCGUUCAGCGACUCCAUUUUGCUGGGGUGUAUUGGAACAAGUAGUUUGAUGAAUGAUGCCAUGUCCUUCCAAAUACUUUUGAAGAUCAUAACUUUGAUAUUCUCCACCAUUAUCACUACGCAGAACCCGAACCUUUGCAUUGUAUUGAGUUUCAAUCACUUUAUGAAAAUUUUGAAACAACAAGUUCACUUCAUCUUUGGUCUUCAUCAAGCAUAACCAUGUCAUUCUGGUACAAUCAUCAAUAAAAGUAACAAACCAACGUGAGCCACUCAAAGUUGGGACUUUGGAUGGGCCCCAAACAUCAGAAUGUAUAACCAUAAAAGGAAACAGACUUUUAUUUAAAAUUAACGGAAACGAAGCACGAUGGCUUUUAGCCAAUUCACAAAUAUCACAACGGAAACCAGAAAUAUCUCUCUUUGCAAACAAACUAGGAAACAAUUUUUUUAAAUAACCAAAGGAAGCAUGUCCCAAACGUCGAUGCCACAACCAAAUUUCAGAUUUUUUCUUCUCUCCCUCAGAUUCAUCUGCCAUCAAGGCUUGUUGCAACUUAUUUGAAUCCUUUGACUGCAAGUCCAAGUAAUAGAGUUUUCCCCGCUUAAUACCACAACCAAUCGCCUGUCUUGUUUGGAUGUCCUUAAUCACACAAAAUUCAGGCCAAAAAAUGACAAUACAAGAUAAGGCUGCAGUGAUUUGAGAAACUGACAAAAGAUUGUAAUCUAAAGAUGGAACAACUAAAAUAGAAUCCAAAUUCAAAGUAUCAGUAAGAGUUAAGGAUCCUUCCCCAAUGACUGGGGUUGUGUUACCAUUGGCUGUGGGAACAAUUUUUUUGUGAGGAAGGUCUAAGGGUUGAAACCUGUCUAGAUUCAAAAGUCAUAUGAUCUGUAGCACCAGAAUCAAUUAUCUAUGCACUAUUAAUAAUAGGUGUAAAAGUAUUUAAAAACUUACCACCAUGAUCUGUAGCGGCUACCAAUGCAGAGGCUUUCUCAGCAACAUUAGCCUCUGUUUUUAUUUCGGCAAUAGUUGCGGUCGAGGUUUUCUUGGAAUCCUUCUUCCGUUGAUCAUGAUUAUUAUCAUUAAUAACAAAGCGUUGAUAACCUAAACAUGAUUUAAAGGUCCAUGGUUCAAACCCUCGGUUCCUUAUUUUUUUCCUGAUCAUACCAAGAGUCGUUGCUUUGAAAUUGUGGGAUAUCCAGACUGGUGGGAUCAGUCUUAUUGCAGUGAGUGCAUUUGAAGGUUGACUUAUCAAUAUUAGGGCUUGUCUUAGGAUGGUUGAUCGCUGUCGGACUACCAUAGCGACAAAAUAUCCAGGAUUUCAGUUUCAUGGCUCUGAUACCAUGUUCAAAUUAAUAAAUGAUAGUUUUUUUCAUUCAUCUUUUCAUUCGUUCAUGUACAGAGUAUAUAUAGAGGGUAUCGUCAUUCUAAGAAUGGGAAAGAAUGAUACAAGGAAAGAAUGACAUAAGGAAAUAACAAUUAAUAUCCUAAUAUCUCAACUUUCCUAAUAUCUCAAUAUUCCUAAUAUCUCAAUAUUCAUAAUAUCUCAACUUUCCUAAUAUCUAAACAUUCCUAAUAUCUCAACACUAAAUGAUAUAAGGAAAUAAUGAUAUAAGGAAAGCAUUCCUAAUAUCUCAACAAUUUUAUACCCCAAAUUGAAAUUUUCAAAUCCUUUUCAUACCUAAACCUUGUUUUUUUUUUAGUUUUAUCUUAUUUUAAAACUUAAUCUAGAAAAAAAAAGAAUUUUAAAUCAUCAAUUUUCCCAAAAAGAAAAAAAAAAUCUAGACAAAAACACCUAAAAACUUAAGUUACCACUAAAUUAUUAAUUUUAUAACACCACUGUACCAUUUUUAAUUUCGAACUCAAAACAUAAUUAUAUUUUGAGCUUCAAAUUUUGUGUCUUUAACUUGAAUAUGUUAGUAUAAUACUCAUUGUAGGGAAAGUAGUCUUGAUUUAAUAAUCUUAGGAGUAAAAUUGUCACUCCAUUGUAAUACACUAACAAAGUUAAUACCAUAUAAAAAUAAAUUUAGAAACAUAUUUUAUAUAAAAAAAAAUAGUUCAAAUUUUGGAAAAGUCCAUAACACUAAAUUUAUAUGAUUAAAAUUCAAAUUUGGACCAUUUAAAUUGUCCAAUAAAAUUUUUGUAUUAAAUGAAAGGACAAAUAUAUGAAACUAGAUUACAAACAAAGGAGACCAAGGUAUUAAAUAAUGGGACCAAAGUAUAAAGCAAUAACAUUAAUAAGGUACAAUGCAAUGGGACCACAUUAGAGAUACAGAGUAAUGAUAUCAAAUUCUAGGUUGAAUAUUGACACAAAAGGUAGGUGUGUGGACCCUGUAUUUUUGCUCAAUGCUUUCCCACUCGAUGACGAAACUCAUUUAUUUAUUUAUUUGGUAAAAAUUUUAUUUUUUAAAAAAAGACCUGAAGUCACCACUUAUUUCUGUUUUAUUUUUAAAAGGAAAAACAAAAUAAGAAAGAAAAACCCUAAGUGUGACUCCUGAAGAAAAAACAGGUCAGUGAAAAACCGAGUUGGGUUCCGGGGGUCAGGUUACCUAUUAGGAAGGUACAGUGGUGAACCGUAACACCCCUCUAAGCCCUAUAAUAAGGUCUUUACUAAAUAAGGUGAAACAAGGAAAUCAAUGGAUACUAAUGAAAUGAUCAAAUAAUAAAACAAAUCGAGGAUGAGAAUAAGCAAAGUGAGAGUGAGAGCAUACCUUGACAACAAAUAAUAGUGCGCUAUCAUGAAAACAAGGUUAGCUCAAGUAUAAAAUUAUCACAUACAUAUCAAAAAGCAAGACAAAGAUCAAACGAUAUUCAUUAAGCAUAGCAAUUGACAAUCGGAAGAUAUCAUAUGUAGGGCCCCCACCAAAGCCCAAUUGAUUUUACAUGAAUUAAUCCCACAAAUUCCAGUGUUUCAUAAUUAUGAUAAUUAUCUUCAUGCUUAUUAAAAAUCAAGGAAAGCAUGAAAAUCAUUUUAAAAUCAAGGAAAAUUUGUGAAAGUGUUUACCUGAAAAUGUAGCAAGUUUAUUUAAAACGAGAUUUUUAGUGACUUAAAAUCCUAAUGAAUGAUGAAAAGUGGUAGAAUUAAAAAUAUAUAUUUGAAAAGUGGAGUGAAAUUAAAAUUAUUUAAAAAUUUGAAAUUUGAAAAUUGAAGUCUCAAAAAUUAUUUGAAAAUUGGAGUUUUGAAAAUUAAAUUUAAGAAUUGGAAUUUUGGAAAUUAGAUUUAAAAACCUAAGCUUUGAAUAUUAAUAUUUGAAAACAUUAAUUGGGAAUUGAGAAUUUUUGGAAAAUUUAUUUGAAGAUGACAUUUUAAAAAUUAAAUUUGGAAUCUAAGAAUUUUUGGAAAAUUUAUUUGAAGAUGACAUUUUAAAAAUUAAAUUUGAAAUUUUGGAAAUUUUGAGAAUUGGAGUUUUGAAAAUUAAAUUUAGGAAAUGGAAUUUUGGAAAUUAAAUUUAAGAAUUGGAAUUUUGAAAAUUAAAUUUGAAAGAAAUUGGAAUUUUGAAAAUUAUUUAAGAAUUGGAAUUUUGGAAAUUAGAUUUAAAAACCUAAGCUUUGAAUAUUAAUAUUUGAAAACGUGAAUUGGGAAUUGAGAAAGAGAUGAGGGCAUUUAAAGAAAAAAAAGAAAAUUGGCCCAUCAAAUGCUAAUGGUGUAUAUAGAGGCUUCAUAUAUUUUAUAAUAAGUUGUGUAUAAUCAAAUUGUACUUUGUUGACUUUAUUUUUUUCUUUUGCUUCAUUUGAUCCAACCUUGUCUCUUAUUAUACUAAUGUUGUGGAUACCACGAAUUUGUGUAAGCUGAAUGAUGCAUUGGUCCAAUGCUCGUAACCCCACUUUGCACAAUAGCAUUAUUUGGACUUAGAUUGGCAAAGUCUUCAAGCAUUCUUAGUGCAGUCAAAGGAUUAAUAAUAAUAGUGGCUGCAUAUUCCACUCCUCCAAGGGAACUUCCCUCACCUGCUCACACAACGCUUCACCUCCGCCUCCGGUAAAGGCUUACAGUCCAUUAGUUAUCAGUUUGUUUUUCAUAAGCAAGUGAAAAAAAAGCAAAAGACAAAGAAAAAUGGGUCUUCCCGAAUCCGAAUCUGCUUACCAUUUUGAAUUAAAAUAGGAAAAGCAUAAAAAAAAAAAAAAAUCAAUUGCCACUUUUGGGUUGUUUCAAUGUGAAACUGAAAUUGAAUAAUGGAGGUGAAAGUCAAAAACCGAGAGGCAGCUAUUUGGGCUAUGAAAAUGAUUUAUAUAUUGGAGUAGUUUGAGGGUUGGCCAUUUAAACCAUGCACUAUGAACUUUUGCACUUUUCUCUUUGGCAGCUUGAGCCAACCAACUUACAGAACGACAAAAAAAUGAAACAAUGAUUCCAUGAGUUGUGUGUGUGCAGGUGGGUAAGAGUUGAAGGCAAAGCAUACGCUCUUGCAGGCCACCACCCGCCUGUUGUCUUGAGAUCUCACUUGGAAACCGACCAGACACAUGGUGUUGAGGAGGUUGAGGUUGGAAAGAUGAGCUGUGGGGAUAAAUUCAGCUGGUGAUACACACAACACUAUGCACUUGGAACACCCACCGAAAACAGAGAAGAAUAACAAGAAAAGAGAGCAUCCAAAAAGGAAAAACAGAACUGCACCAGUGUUUACCUGAGAACUCCUCCAAAAAAAUCCAGAUAUCCUCCCUAGUUGCUGUCCGUUUUCUUAUCCUAUGCUUAGCUCAUUCCCCUCUUGCUUCCCCAAAAAAAUCCUUAGACCCUCACUCCCCCCAGCUACCCCAAAAACCCACUCUCCAGAUUUUUUCUUCCCUAUCCCUCGGGAACUGAAAAUCUCCUCUACUCUUCCUUUGUUUUUCUCCCCAGAUAUCACCUUCCCUCUCACCCGUUCCAUUGCUCCCUAUCCACUUAGCUAGUCUCUACCCCAACCACCACCAUGGUGAGUUGGUGGUGUCCUUGGCCAUGCGUCCCAUGCAUGUGGCUCCUUCGAAAACCGUCCCCCCACUCAAAAAACCAGUUGCCAGCUCUCUCAUGCGUGGUGAAAAUAUGCUCCAAAAAUAACUAAAAAGACCUAGACCAAAAUGAGGGUCUACAAGGUAGUUCUACAUUUAUCUCAUUUUAACUUAAAACAAAGAAUAAAAUAUGAUUUAUAUUAUGAAAGUUUAGAACUUACUUAUGAAAUACUUAGAGGCAAAUAGGUAGCUCUUUUUUUUAGCUCAAAUUUUUAUUUUUAAAUUUUUCUUUAAGUAUUAUAGAUAAAAUAAAAAAAUUCAAUGGCACAAAGAGAACCAUUUACAUGGAAAACCACCCAUAAAGUCUCCCAAAAACUUUAAACAUGUGAAAACCAUGAGGUCAGAGACCAUAGUGAUAUAAUCCACUAAACAAGAAAAACAGGUAUUUAUUUUUACUUUAUGGUUACUACUCCCUCAGACUUACACCUCACAACUACAUUAAAUGUCAUGUCCAUGACAUAGCACCAUCGUGCUCCUCAAUGGACUCCUCAACACCUAGCAGAUGUGAUUCUCUCUCACAACCCUAAAAAAAAAUCACAAUCAAUCUGAAAGUUUCUUAUUAAGUGCACAUAAAACAACUUAAACCUUAUGCGUAUAAGUUCUUUGGAGAACUCUCCCAGUAGGUAUAUAUUAGAGAAAAUAUAGUGGACUUAGAAUUAAUUUAUAAAUCAUAUUUUAUCCAAAAUUAAUUUAGGAACUUAAGAAUCUUAGAAAGAUUUGGAAAGAUGUUUUUUUAAAAAAAACAAAAAAAAUAAAAAAACAAUUUAGGAAAUUUAAGAAUCUUAAAAAGAUUUUAUUUUUUUCAAUUAAAAAUAUUUUCUUUUUUAAAUUCUCAAUUUAAAAUUCUUUCAAAAUUAAUUUUAUUCUCAAUUUCCAUGCAUAUAAGUCCACUCUAUGUCUUUUAUAUCAUUAUUUUCAAUUAACUCAAUCAUACAUACCUAUUUAAUUCUAGGUUGAUUUUGUUAGCAACCUUCAAUCUUCAAAAUAUAUGUAAACCACAAGAAAGUACAUAUAGUCCUAAAACCAAAAUGGAUGGAAUAAAAUUAUCAACUUAAUCUAAAUAAUCUAAUCCACUAACAAUCUCCCAUUCUCUAGCAAUUUUUUGACAAACUAAUGAUUACAUAAAUCUCCUAAUAUUCUCAAACAAAGUUUACAAAUUGCUGAUCAAUGUCACUCAUCUCAACCAAACAUCCUAUAAAUUGAUUUUCAAUAUCUACAACUCAUCUAAAAAAUUCUUGAAAUCUAAAACAUGUAAUUUGCAUAUUCUUAAUCAAUAAAACAUGUGAAAAGUAGUGUGUGGGAAAAAAACCAAUAAAAUAAUAUAAUAUGAUCACAAUCCAUCUUGCUAGGAAAAAUAGUUACAUCUAAUUCAACUAGAAAAAAAAAAUUGGAUAUCUUCAUAAAUAAAUAUUAAUACAAAUUAUCAAUUAGAUAUCAAAAUAAUCAUAUGAAUUUCUCCCUCUUUUUGUUCUAAAAUUACUAAAAUAUUCAUUUCUAAUCGUUUAAGUUUCACUUAAGGCUAAUAGAGUGCCAAAGAUGCAAUUCCUGAGGUAGAGGAGGUGAAAUUCCAUAGUAGUGUGUGAUUUCAAAAUUGAGCAAAAUUUCAAAAUAAAUUUCAAAAUCAAGUUGAAUUUAUGAAACCACCAUUUCAACUUCAAAAUGGUCCUUCUAUUCUACCUAGUUGCCUUCUAAUGGCCCUAACCUAUUUGUUUUAGUUUUGAUUUGUGCACCAUUUGAAAUGUUGAACUCUUAACCUCUUAAGCUUCAAAACCAUGUAUAGCUUGCCCCAAAAAGAUCUUGGAAAGUGCUUUAAAAAUCAUGUCAAAUUCAAGGUAUGUCAUAUUGUUAUUGUAAUGUUUAAGUCUGAAAUUCCAUAUUAAGCAUGAUUGUAAUUAUUUCAAACCUUCUUCCUCAUGAUUGUUUGCCCUCUACCUCUAUCCAAAACAUUAGUUUUUCAUCUUUAAUGCUCAUAAAUUCCUUGUUUUUCCUUUGCCUUCUCAUGCCUUAUAAGUGUUGAAUCUCUCUUUAAGCAUAAUCGAUCUUAUACUCUACUUUGGAUGAAAGUGGCUUUAGCAACUUGUAUUUUUUUUUCUCUUUCAAACCUGAAAUUAAACUCAAAAUAUAUGUUCGAUCCAUAAUUAAGGUUUUAACAUCAAUUUGAGUUAAGUUGGAUGAUGUGAGUUUUUCAUAUUGCAUAAAUCAUAUCAUAUAUGUGUUAUUAGAUCACAUAUUUUGGCUCCAAUAAACCCCCUUAAUAGUUUAAGGCUUGUGGCUUUAUCCAUUCUGUCUUCCAAAACAAAGAACCCUAUACUCCAUCUUUAUGGAGAGGACUUCACCAUUAUUACUUGUCAAAGUCCAAGUGAGAGUUAUCAAGUAGAAGAUUGCAAGGUAUUUGAGACCUACAUCAUCAUUUUCUUCAUUUGGAUUUUGGUUUAGGAACAUCUAGAUCAAAGGUAUGUUUUUUAAGCCCUAAAUCUAUAGUUUUUGAAUUAUUAUCAUUUUUGUUGUGUAGAUCUAGUGAGCCUAGAUAACUAAAGAGCAUGCACCUAUGAUUUAGGGUUAUCCAAAUACGUUUAGUGCUUAAUGCCACCCCACCCUUUUAGUUCAUUAGUUUAAAGUCAAGAAACAAGAGUGAGUGUUGGGAUAAAGUUUGAAAUGCACAUACAUAUAGUUUGAGUCCAAUAGAUUCUCAUGUUCACAUAUAAUUGUUAUAAUCAAAAUGACACAUUUAGAAGAUAUUUCCCUAAGUUGUACCAUGAAAAGGUGGACAAAAUAUUAAAAAAAAAAAAUCUAAGAUGUAAUCAAAUCUUGCUAACCAAAGUGAAAGUGAUGAUGCUUCACAAUCCAUAUGCUUUGGUGCUUUGAGGUCUCUAAGAAAAAAAGAUAGUUUAUUCUGGUUCACAAAAACAUCAAGUGUUCAUGGAUACCAAACAUCAAAUAUAUUGAAAUUAUGUAGAAUUAAUGAGCUUUUCAAUAUUACAUCUUAAAGGGAAGAUCAUAUAUCCUCAAAAAUGGGCAUAAACACAAACACUCAUUCUAUGAACCUAGAGAAUUACCUUUUUUGGGAUCUAAAUAAUGUGAAGAAUAAAGGGAACCUAGGUGGCUUAAAGGCCAAACUACAUAAACCAAAAUAUGUGGUAAAUGUAAGAGUGCAUGUCACACAAUUUGAAAAUGGCCAAAGAUGUAAUCAAAUACAAAAUUUGAAUAGCAAUAUCACCUUACAAGAUGAGUCCCUCAAUUUACUUAUACAAGUUGACACAUCAAAUGAGGAGGAUCAUGCUCAUAUUCUAGAACAUAGUAAGACUCGAGUAAUAACCUUUAUUUUAUUUAUUUAUUUAUAUAUACUUAUUUCACUAUUAUUUAUAAUGAUUUGAAGUAUUUAUGUAACUCUCAAAUUGUAUCUACAAGAUCACAUAUAUUUUUUUCAUGAAAAUAUGAAACUAGAUCAACAUAUCGACCAUUGAUUAGUUUACGUGUUCUGUUUGACUAAUCAAUUACAAUUGUUUAUAUAGAUUAUUGUGAAGUUAAACAUAUAACUUAUAACUCAUAAGAUAUAAUUAGCAACUUAUGUCCUAUAUGUAGGAUGUGUAUCCACUUCACAUUGAUACCACUAUUGCUACAAUGGAUUCACAAGCAUUUUCUUCCAUAAAUAAGUCGUCCCCAAUUAUUUUACUCCUAUUUAGUAAAGUAUGAUAUUAUUGUAAUACAUGGAUUUAUUAAUAGUAUAUAUUAUCCAAAAUGAAUUUUUUUUUUUCAAGUCAAAGCGGAUUAGGCCAUUGUAUUAUGCAAACAAAUAAGAGCAUAAAAAUAGUGUUUUAAAAAGCGCAUUUCAGUACUCCCUAUGGCAAAAUGACAUAAAUGGAGUGGAAUUCAACUCUUAAGGGUGGAAUUUACCUAUGAAUAAAGUUAAAACAUUAUGUCAUAGCAACCUAAGAUUAAAAAGUCUAAAGGAAGUGUUAAAAUAUAGCAGGUAUUUAUAACACCUACUAUUGAUUUGAUCAUAUUUUUCCCUAAAUAGUGAAUUGCUCUAGAGAGUAGUUUUCUAUAUAUAUAUAUAUAUAUAUAUAUAUAUAUAUAUAUAUAAGUGGAAUUAAAAAAAUGAAAGCAAACACAUUUUCUUUGAUAUGAAAUUUCUUUACUUAGCACUUUAGAGAUCAAUAGGAAUGAAUUUUAUAACGAUUGAUACUCAGUCUUCUUCAUCAAAUCACCUCCUAAACAUUGAACUGCUCUAAUAAGCAGGUUUCUAAGUAGGUUAUAUAUAUAUAUAUGUAUAUAUAUAUAUAUAUAUAUAUUGAGAGAUAGAGAGCAAAGCACACUCAUUUGAUGAAAGCAAUCUAUAAAGUGUUUAAGAUAUAACUAUAUUGGAAUUCUUGAAGAUUAUUUUCAUUUCCUUCUAUCUUGAACAACUUAAUUCAAAAUUGACUCUAAUUUAUUUAUAUUACUUUCAUAAUAAUUGUUUAUUUAUAGGUCUCAUUUCUUUGGCUAAAUAUGCUUUAACCCUCAUAGGUUUUAAAUUUCAUCAAAAACCUCACUUAUUUUGAGUGAGAUAGGAGAUUAAUGAAAAGCUAAAAGAGGUAUUUGAUGAAAUUUCAAACCUAUAGAGGUUAGGUGUAUUUAGCCAAAAUCUCGAGAGAGAUUAAUGAAAUUAACUUCUCUUUCAAUUAUACUUUAUUCCCAUUUAUUCAUACAUUUUGUGGCAUUUUGAUUCAUCUAAUUUUUUUUUUCUAUUCUUUGAUACUAUUUGAUCAUACCUUGAAUUUAUUUUUUUGCACCUUCAAUAAUUUUAUUGAAAGUUGACUUCUAUCACUUCAUUAUAGCCUAGUCCUAUCUCUUUUAAAUUUGGUUCAAUUAAUUCACAUGUCUAUCUUAUUUCAUAGUAGUUAGUUCUAUAUAUUUGUAGAUUUAUCUCAUUGUUUAUAUGUUCAUCCUAUUUGUUCAUACAUCAAUCUUAUUUAUUUCUAUUUUGCUCAAUUUUAUUGAAAUUUGGCUCAUUUAAUUGUAUGUAUGUUUCAUUUAUUCCUAUACGACUCAUUUUUAGUCCAAUUUCAUUAUAUCUUGACAUUUCAAGAUUUUCAAGUGUUUUACUGAUUUCUAUGUGAGCAUAAAUAAUUAGCCCUAUUUUAUCUUUUAUUUAAUUCACUUUUAAGGCAUUAACAUUUCUCUUGUUAAAUUUGUAUUCAAAUGCUCAAGCAAUGGGUAAUAGAAUACUCUAUCAAAUUAAUUAUAAGAAAUUUUUUAAAAUAUUUAUAUUUUUUAUUAUUUAUUUAUUCAUACAUAUUAUGUGAAAAAUAUAUAUUAUGAUUAAUACAUUGAAAAAGAUUUUUUUUAAAAUAAAUUAAACAAAAAUCAAUUGAAGACAGAACCGAGCUUACAAGUGUAAAGAAAAAAUUAAUAAUUAGGGCUCUGUUUGGUAAUUGUUUUCGAAAACAAUUAUGAAAAAUAGCUUUUGAUAAUUGUUUUUGAAAAUUAGUUCGUAAGGUUUUAUAAAACAAAAGUCUGUUUAAAAACCUAAAAUGUUUUAAUCAAUUUUUAAUGUUUUUAAAUAUAUUUUAAAAAUAAUUUUUAUAUGUAUUAUUUUAUUAUACAAUUAUUUCUUAAAACAAUUCUUAAAAAACAAGUGAAAAUAGUUGAAAUAAAUUAAAAGAUAUUUUAAAAAAAAUAUUAUAUUUUCUAUUCUUGAUAAAAGAAAAUAUAUAAUUUUUUUUUGUUCAUCAAAAACAUGUUUUACAGAUUUUUUUUUUUUUUUUUAGAGAAGAAAAUAUUGUUCUCGAAACUAUUUCCAAACAUGCCUUAACACUGUGUUUUGUAAUAUAUCCUAACGGGUGACUCUUUCUGUAUCAGAUUUUUCCUUCAAUUAAUUAAAGUAGGGAGAAUUGUGUUUUGGGCCCAGAUGGGCCCAAAAAUUAACAUUUGGUCCAUAGAUGUUACAAAAUUAAGCCCAACAUCCAAACAAAGUCUCAAAAUUGAUAAAGAGGAUAUACAAUGUAUAAUUUGCUGAAAAUGCCAUUUGUUGGGUAUUUUUAAAAAAAAAAAAAAAAAAACUAAAAUCCACAUUAGAUUUCUCCCUUUGUUUUCCCCAAAUUGGAGUCUGCAUUAGGUGUUUUCACAUUCCUGACUUCGUCUCUCGUUUCCUCCCAAAGAAUGCCCUAAUCCUCUAUGCCAAUUUCGUUAUCUCUUGAUCUCGUCUUUCCCGGUCAUCUGAUUUUAGGUGUCGGUAGUGGAGUUUUUCAUCUCUAUUGAUCCAUUGUCGUCGACGAUCACCACUGGAUUUGGCCUCCGUGGCGAAGUAGUUGAUAGUUGAGGUUAGUAGGUUUAGCAAUUUCAUUUUAUGCUUCAUUUUGGCUAUCCAGACUAUUUGAUUUCAGCCCAAAUACAUUGCCCUAAUUUAUCUCGCAAUUUCAGUUUGCCAUAUAUUGUUCUCUCAUCGAUCCCCAUCGAUGGUGCCCUCCGUGUUGAGCAUUGUUGGAUUUUUUAGAUUAGAUGGGACUUUUUGGAGGUUGAUUGCUGUCUGAAUUGAGGAGGGAGCUUCUCUUACCAUCAGGCAAAGCAGUCUUUUUUUUAAAAAACUUAAACCCCGUAACUGAUGUUUUUUUUGUUUAACUUAUAUUUUUUUAUGGGUAUUUUUUUAUUUAGCAUUAUGAUUAUCAACUCUUUAUUUUGUGUGGAUGACUUGAUCUCUUGAUUGCCAUAUUUCAUUGUGGGUUAUGGUGUUUAUAAGACAUGGCUCACAGUUUGAAAUAGUGAGCAUCUUCAUGGGUUAAUUGCAACUACAUGUCGUGGUAUCAACAGUUUUUGUUUAGAUAAUUAUGUUUGUGUUCAAUUUACAUGAUCGAUAGCCUUAACAUGCAAAACCCACUUCUUUUUAUUAACCUGUGAUGUCACCAUGAUUGACUUGUUUCUCCAUCAAUAUGACAACCCGUGAUUAGCAUGAACGAUAAUGGUGAUGAUGAAGAUGACAUAAAAAUAUAUUUUGAUUUUGCCUGGAUUUUACUUGGUUCACUGAUGUUUGUUCGAUUUAGUAUUGCAUAUUCAUUUUAGAAGUUUGUUUUAUACGUAUAUUUUAAUUCUAAUAUAUGAUUAGUCAAUGCAAAUUGAUUUUCCUUUUGCAGACAUAUUUUUCCUCCUUUGGUUCAAAUCAAAUCUGUUAGCAUUAUAUUUACUUCCUCGUGUGGCAGUCUAGUUCAGUACAAUAGUUCGUUUGUUAACUUUCUUUGAUAAAACCUAAGUUCUGGUCACCCUAUAGUAUGAGAUAUUGUGGGCUACUUAGUAUGUGUAGAUAGAUUAUCAUUUCCAACUUCAUGAAAUUUGUAGCUAACAUGAAUAUAAAUGGCAAAUAAAGAAACAAAUUAGUUCAAAGCUAGUUCAAUGACCCUUAAUUAUAUUAAAUCAGACCAGUAACUAGGGAUUCAAUACAUAACAAAUCAAUUAAGGGAUUUCUCAUUGAAAUCCAAAAUGGUUUCCAAUAAUCAUUCUAGUGCCCAAACACCUCCUUCCAUGUUUACUAUUCAUUGAUGCUGAAUAUCAAAUGCAUGCAAGUCAAUAUUAUUUUCAGCAUACAAUUCAACCAGAACAAAAUUCAGAGAAAUUUGAAGCUGACUAUUAAGCAUGAGCCAAAACACUAACCACAUAGCCAUCAUCUGUCCAUUUAUGAGUGUCAAAAGUAAGUGCGAUGUUGCCAUUGGGAUCUAGAAAGUCAUAACACUCUGCAAAAAUAGAGAAAUAGUCAACCAACUUGUUAAAAAAUAGAAUAAGUGAAGUAACAAAAGGAAAAGUCUAUGUAUAAAUGAUGACUAAUAAACUGGACAUGGCAACUAAUAAUAAUGUCAACUUCAAAGCAAAAGCCCACAUGGGAGGAAAGAUCAACCCCAUUUUCUAUAAUAUGCAUAAUUGUUUGUUCUAUAAUAUGAAAUUUGUGCUAUGUUUGUAUAGGUUGAUGGAUGCAACUAAUAAGAUAUAUUGUUACAUUUUCAUAGGAGGCAAAACUUCUCUAAAAAAAUGAUGGGCAAUAGGAAUACGUGGGUAGAAGAAGCAAAGGUAUUCACAUUUAUAAAGGAAUGCCUUUUGAAGAAUUCACCAAAAAAAUCUUAGAGAAAUUUGACAUCUCCUUUGAUGCGAUGAAAAUGCACUACACCCUCAAGUUCAACCCCAGAGUCAUCAAAGAUUUAGAAGAUGAGAAUGACUUGGAUAACGUGGUUUCCCACUGUGAUGACUUUGCAAAUGUAUACCUAGUAGACUUACCUUAUGUGGAAGCCAUUGAAGCAAAUAUACCGAAUACACAGUUGGCAUUUGGGUAAUGGAAUUUAACAUGAAUGUCUAUUUAAAAUAUUGUGAAUAUCAAUUUUACGCAUCAUGUAGUCUAAUUAUGUUAAUGUAUGUAAAUGUAGAGGUCCACCUACCACGUUUCCUUCCUCUAAUGCAUCAUGCGAUGCAAUUCCUAAUACUAUGAUGCUAUCCAGAGGUUUUGCGUUGCAUUGUGUAGUUAGUGAGUACACCCCUUUGGAAUCGAUUUGUUUUCGCCAGGCAAUAUUAGGAUCGGGACAUACAUUUAAAAAUGCUGAGGAGUUUUGGAACGCAAUUUACCAUAUGUCAUUAGGUGGAAGGUUUGAAUACAAGUACAAGAAAAAUUCCCCUACACAUACGUCUGUAAAGUGUUCAGUUGAGGGUUGUCCUUGAAAGAUAACAGCUCAUGCUAUAGAGGAAAAAGUCAUCUUGCGAGUUCAUACUUACCAAGUGAAUCAUAAUCAUAUAGCUCAAGAUGAGUGUUCAUCUAAGGUCAAGGUUUCUUCAAAGAGAGGCACAGUUGUUGUUGAAGAUGUGUUUAGAACCACUCCAAACUAUCUUCCCCAUCAAAUUUGUAAGGAUUUUGAACGUGAUCAUGGAGUUCAAUUGACAUAUAACCAAGCAUGGCACCUUAAAGAGAAGGCAAAAGAGCGCAUAUAUGGAGCUCCACGUGAGUCCCACACGUUUGUCCCUUGGUUAUGCCAUAGGCUAAGGGAAAUCAACCUCGACACUAUUGUAGAGUACACUUCCCAUGAAGGUCACUUCAUGCAAUUGUUCAUUGCCCAUGCAUUUUCAAUUCAAGGGUUCAUCAUGGGGUGUCGACCUGUAUUGGCUAUUGAUUCUUACCACCUAAGCGGUUCAUAUAAGGGAGCUCUUUUGUCCACCAUUGCAUAUGAUGCAGAUGAUGGAAUGUUCCCUCUAGCCCUUGGUGUGGUCAGUUUUGAAAAUUAUGAGGACUAGUAUUGGUUUUUGGAGAAAUUAAAGGGAGUCUUAGAUGGUAAAGAAGUUGUUAUUAUAUCAGAUAGACAUCAGGGAAUCUUGCGUAGUGUUUUCGAGUUGUUCGAGAUAGGAAAUCAUGCAUAUUGUUAUUGACAUGUGAAGGAAAACUUUUCUAACUUCUUUAAUAAGCAAAACAUUAGAGGAAAGAAAGGGAAAGAAGAUGUUUUGUUAUUCUUGGACAACAUUGCAUAUGCUAGGUUGGAUAUAGACUACAACGAGGCAUUCCAAAAACUUGUGCGCUUCAAUGACAACCUAGCAAAAUGGGUUGCGAAAAACAAUCCCAAACAUUGGGCAAUGUCAAAGUUUCUUCGAAAGUGAUGGGAUAAAAUGACAACUAACAUUGCAAAGUCCUUCAAUGUAUGGUUAAGAGAUGAGCAUCACCAAACAAUUUAUACGUUAUUGUUAAUGCACAUGGAUAAGCUUGUAGCCAUGUUGGACACCCAUGUGUGGUACAGAAAAGUGGAAGAGCGUGGUCAGACCAAAAACUGAAGAGCAACUAAUGUCAAAUAUCAUGAGGUCUGGUCUGAUUAGUGUGUUGCCCUAUUUGGGGGAGGCGUUUAAGGUGUUUACUGGGGAGGUUUAUUUGGUUGUCGAUUUGAAUCAACGUACGUGUACUUGCAUGACAUGGCAAAUGUCCGGCUUGCCAUGUUCACAUGUAUGUGCUGUCAUCCGCACACUGAGACACAACGUGUAUGAGUAUAUUGACCCAUGUUUUCAUGUCUCCACGUAACAUUUGAUUUACUCAGGUCAGUUUCAACCAUUACCAACACAUAAUAUGCCCAAAGUUUGUGACGAUGGGAGUUUGCAACAUUGCACAAGCAGCUCUUUCCUGCUCUCCAACCCCCCCCCCCCCCCCCAUGUGAGAUGUCCUCUAGGAAGAACCCAACAAGGACGUAUUGAGUCACAGUUUAGCCAUAAGAGAGCAAUUCAUUGCUCUCGAUGCAAUGACAUAGGUCACAACCGGUCUAAAUGUAAUAAUCCAUUAUCGUGACAUGUACAUUUUUUGUGUUUGUAUGAUUCUCAUAUUUUGUAUCAUCCUAUACAUUCUAUUGUAGGGUAUAUGGUACGGGGUUGUUGAUUUUUGUUCUUAUGUAUUGGCCUCGUUAUAGGCACGAUGCACUAUUUUGUUAUUUUCAUGAUUUAGGGUUGCUUUGAUUAACCAAAUUAAUUGAAAGUGCAAUUUCAAUGUGGUUUCUUUUCACUUGUUAUUUCAUUCCAUCAGUGCAAAUAAAUGAGGAUGACAGUUUAUUAUUAAUUUAUUCACAUAUUGGGGUUCACAAUUCUUGUUUUUUCCAAUCCAGAGAGACUUCCCCUUUCCUUUUUUAAAUUGCCUUAUUGUUAUUUAUUUAAUUUAUUUUAACCUUAUAAAUCUGAAUAUGAUAUACCAUUACCAAAUUUAUCCAACCAAUUAAUGGUACAAAUGGUCAAAUGACCUUUCCAUUUAUUAUUAGCUUCUCCAAGUGACCGAUAACUACUAUAGCACCCAUUUCAAGUUACAGGUUCUUUGAAGGUUCAAGCUUACAACAAUAAUUUCAUUCUUUAAUGGCCACUACGGAGGUAAUGCAUUCUUUCUUGUUUUUUAAUUUUCAUCACUUAUUUCGGGGACUUGAUAUUUUAACCCACUUAAGACAGUUACUUGUUUUGGGUGUUAAAGAUUCAUUAUUACAUAAACAUCCACUAGUAAAUUAUUCAUCCACAUUAAUUUGUUUGUUAGUUCAUUCAAUUGUAUUGCUUUUUUUACCACGUUUAUGUAUUCAUAUUGAUUUUCUUAUUUCUUUAUUGAUUACUAAAAUUCAUGUGUAAGAUGCUAAUGAUCUCCAACAAUUUUUUUGCAGGCCACCAGAUUAUUCACACGUUGUUCAUCUUCAAGAUUCCUAAAACUAUGCAACAGGCUCCCAAUUUGAGAAAUUGGAUGUGGUUCGAGACCUUCAGUUUGGAGGUCUUCUCAACUUAAACUGCAAGGAGAUACGACAUAAUAUAUGUCUAUGACUAAACUACGGUUGGCGACCCAUUCAUCUUUUCUCUCAUUCCCUCAUUCUCUCACUUCCCCAAUCACACCCGUUUUCAUGUUUAUUAUUAUUAUUAUUAUUAUUAUUAUUAUUAUCAUUAUUUCUUGAUUUUUCUUGAUUUGAUUUUAAUAGUAAUUGUUGUUGAAAUUGGGCUUGUGCAUUUAUGUCUGUUUGUGGGCUUUAUGUUUGGGCUUUGUUAAUUAAUAUGAAAUUUGGGUUAAUUUAUUAUUGGUGAAUUAAUUUGAAAUUUGUUAAUUUGGGUUUGUGGGAUUAAUUGAGGAUAUUUGGACUAUAUCAAUUGCAUAUUGUUUAUUUGGACUAUAUCAAUUAUUGCUUAUUUGGACUUGGGCUAUUGUUAAUUGGUUAUUUGUUUAUGUUUAUUGGAUUGGGAUUGAAAUAUUAUUUGGCUUAUUAAUUGGUUAUUUGUUUGAGCUUAUUAGGUUAGGCUUGAGAUAUUAUUUCUUUUGGCCAUGUGUAGAUAUUAUUUCUUUUUGUCAUAUGUAUUAUUAAUGUGGACUUAUUAGAUUGGGUUUGAGAUAUUAUUUCAUUUGGUCAUGUGUAUUAUUAAUGUGAGCUUGUUAAUUGAUGUGAAUUUUGGGCCCACAAGUAGGUGAGAUUUGUUGGAUGAUUUGAAUAUUUGAUAUGGAUUGGGCCAAUUUGAACUAUUUCAUUUGAACAUGGGACAAUUGUGGUAUAUAUUAAAUUAGGCUUGGAUUAUGGAAUAUUAAAUUUCGGCCUAAUGAGCUUUAUCUUAAUUUAUCAUGUUUUGGGUUUGAUUAAUUGAGCUUAUAUUUUGACUAUUGAUUUUGAAACUUUAGAUUAAGGUCUAUGAUAUGUGAGAUGUUUUUUUUGGGUUAUAUUUAUUAAUUUGAGCCCAUUUUUAAUUGGUGAAAUUUAUUGGAAAUUUGAAUUUGGGUUUGAAUAGUUUUUUUGGACUCUACAUGUUUUUGGAUAUUUAUAUUUGUGCUAUUUUUGUUUUUGCAUGGGUUCACUCUACAACCUUGUUGGCUGAGUACGAAUUGACAACACGUGAAGCUUGUUGUAAGUUAAUUUGAGUACAUAUUUUAUUUCCCACUUUUACUUGGUUUUAUUUUUAUUAGUUCUUGUAAAUAUUUGUUUGUAUAUGUUUAUUUGUUGCGUACAGAAUUGAAUAUUGAACAAAUUAGAAAUUUUGUUUAAAUAAGAAGAAUAAUUCAGUAAAUAUGUUUUAAUAAAAUAAUAAUUUAAAAAUAUUCUCCUUAAUAAAAGAAAGUUUUUUUAUAUUUAUUUAUAAAAAUUUAGAAAAAUAAAAAAGAAUUGUUUUUAAUAGAAUUUAAAAAAUUAUUUUUAAUAAAAUUGUCCAAAAGUUUCUUUGUUUAAUAAAAAUUGUCUAAAAAUUGUUUUGUAAAUAAAGUUGCCCCAAAAAUUAAUUUUUAAUAAAAUUGUCCAAUUUUUUUUCUUUUUCCUUAAUUAAAAUGGGGUUAAAAGCAUUUUUUAGAAAUAGAGGAUUUAAUUUUUUUUUUCUUCUUCUUUUUAAUUAAAAUUUCUUUUGCAAAUAAAGUUGUAUUUUUAAAUAAUUUGUAUAAAUCACUCUUUUUUUUAAAUGAAAAUGAAUCAAAAUAAUUUUGUAAAUAAAAUUGUAAAAAUUCAUUCAUUUUUUUUUUUUUGUAAAAUCAAGUAAAAUAAUUUUUGUGCUCAAAUUGAAAUUUUGUAAUAAAUUCUUUUGAUACAAUAAGUGUAAAUAACUUUUUUAAAAAUUGAAUACAAAUGAAAUUGAAUAAAUAAAUUGAAACUUCUUUUUUUUUUUUUGUAAAUAAAUAAAUUGAAAUCAUUAAUUCAAAAUCAUUUUUUAUAAAAUUCUUUGAAAUUUCUUGAAAACCAUUUUUUUUAGUUCAAUAAAUCAUUUUUGCACAAUUCUUUUGUUAUUAAUUUCAUGUAUUCUUAUAAUUAGAUUUCAUCAUUAUUUUUGUGUAUAUUGAUUUUCAUCAUGACUUGUACAUUGAUUAUUUUUCUUGAUAUCCAUAAUUAAUUAAUUAAUUGUCACAAUUCCCUUGAUUCAUUUAGUAGAGGCCGUAUGUAUACGGGGUUAGAGGGGUAUUACGGCUUAUCACGGACCUUCCCAAUAAGUAAUCUGACCCCUGAACCCGACUUUGGUUUUCCAUAGACCUGUUUUUCUUUUAGGAGUCACACUUAAGGUUUUUCUUUCUUAUUUUGUUUUUCCCUUUAAAAAAAAUUAAAAUAAGUGGCAACUACAAGUCUUUUCUAAAAAUCAAUUUUUCACUAAACAAAUAAAAAAACGAAUCACGCCGUUGAGUGGGAAUGCACGUGAAAAUGUAGGAUCCACAUCUGUCCAAUUUAAUCUUUAAAUGAUUGAGAAACUAUUUGAAAUAUCAAUAUCCAUAUGUAUUUAUUUUUCAUUAACAAAGGUAAUCAUUUUCAUAUUAAAAGAAAAAAAGAAAUCAUCUGCUAUCAACUCUUUCCAUAAUCAAAGCUAAAAAAUCUUUAAUUCUAUAGCGUCAUCUCCAUUCCAAUCAUCUUCCUUGUCUUUAUUUUCUUUCUUACAAGACUCAAAACAACUACCUCCUCGUUCAAAAGGCUAUAAUUAGAAUCUUUUGAAUCUAUAUAUUAAUCUCUUCCAUGCUUGGAUGCCUUGUUCCGCAUUGAUGAGAUAUUACUCUUUCCUAUAGUUAAUUUCUUAAAUUCAUACCAACACAUCAAAUAGUUUGAUACCAUUAAUUUGUUAUUAAGGCAUCGUGCUUGUAAAAAAUAAGAUACAUAUUGUCUAAUAAUUAAUUAAAUUUCUAUCAAUUUGUAUCUCAAAUGGAGGGUUCUCCCUACUAGUGAUUCAAUUGAACAAAUUCUUAUAAAACUUCUUAUGUUUAUUUAUUCCAGUCAAACAAAUUCAAUAGGUUUUGUAGAUUUUUAAGCAUAUGGUUGAUUUUAUCAUUAGUCCAGCUCCCCAUAGGAAAAUAUCCAAUUGUGUAUUCAUUGAUCAAUAAGAUUGACAUACAACUAAAUCCAUGCCCUUGUAAACGUCUUCCCUAAAUAAGAAAGAGAGAACACAUUUCCUAGUUUGAAAAGUCAAAUUGCUUAACAAAUUAUUGGAGCCUACAAUGCAUCUUUCCCUUUCAUCACUUUGCUGUCCAUGUCUUCAAUAAAAUGGCCUAAAGAAAAGUGUGAGGAUCCGCCAUCUAUCAUGACUUUAUGACUUAUUUUUUCCAUUUCUUUCCUCUUCUUCCUCACUUCACUAUUAAUAUUCAUUAGGUUCCUUAAUCCAUUUUCAAUCUCAUGAGCACUUACAAUAUGAUCACGAUCCUUAUUGUAAUCUAUUUUAAUUUCUACUGCCAACCCCAAAUCUUUCACCAUUUGAAAUGCGUUGAUUUGUUGUUCUGCAUAUAUUGGCCAUGUGGCUACUGGAACACCAUACCAUACGCUUUCUAGCAAAGAAUUCCACCCACAAUGAGAUACAAAUCCUCCAACAGCUGAGUGGGCUAAAACCGCUAUUUGUGGAGCCCAUCCAAUCACCUUUCCAAUUCUAGCCGUCCGAUGUAAAAAUCCUUCUGGUAGAACUUGCUCAAUAUUUUCAUGGUCGCUUGGAAUCAUUUUACCCUUUGGGGGAGGUUGGCGAAGGGACCACAAGAAGCGAUGCCCACUGUGCUCUAACGCAUGUGCUAUCUCCUUGAUUUGAUCCGCACCAAAGCUUCCCAUGCUCCCGAAGCACAGGAAAACCACGGACGAUGGAGGCUGAUCAUCAAGCCAAUUCAUGAUGGCACUAGCAUCUUGUUGACCCCCACCAGAUCCCAUUCGGGUGUUGAGUAUGGGUCCAACGGGAUACACCUCGGGUACUGUACUGCCAGAAAGUGAUUGAAUGGCAUGUGAUUCAAGCUCAAUAAACGUAUUUACCAGAAUACCCUUGACUUCUCUGAAUCUCCUCGUGUGAUACAGAAGCAUCUCAGCCCCUCCGCUUUCCUUGUCAAACAUCCCAGCAGGGAAGACCUUACCCGGAAUUGAGUUAACAAAAGUCGGAACAUCCAACUCAGCAUCCGAGUCCUUGAACUCAUUAAUAUCCAAGCCCUCAUAAUCAUGGAGGAACUGAACAUGUAACAGGAAGCCAAGAACAGCAGCGCCGGAAGAGAAGAAGAGAUAGGAAGGCACCCCAAACUCAUCGGCCACGUCAAUCAUGUGGGUGCAGAACAUAUCAAUAACGAACCCAGAGAGCCGAACCGAGUUGGAGCGAGUGAGCUCGUGGACGGCGUCUCGGACGAGUGGUAUGUGAACUUUGAGGAAUUCAGAGAAGAAGUGACCAGACGGGGUCGUUUCGGAGCUGACCUCUACAGGAGGAAGUGUGACGAAACGUAUGGAAUCAGAGUCCGUGUCCAUACCAUCAGUGGACCCAAACGGAAACUUCAUGAUGAAAAUCGUGAUUGAGAAUCGGGGGUCUCGCUUAGUAAUCAGCUUUGCAAUCUCCAGUGCAGACGCAAGGUGGCCGAUGACAGGAAAUGGGAUGAAGACCAGCUCAGUUUGCUCCAUCACCAACUAGCAGUUACUGCCAAGACAGAAAAAAGGGAUGUUUCGAGGGCUUUGCGGUGGUGUCACGCUCUUAUACUAGUGGCUGGAUAGUAUUGGAGGGCAAAGGAACCGAUGUCAAGUCUUAGCUGGUUCAAUGUAUUUUCUUUAUUGUUUUUGUAUGAUUUGUGGUUGGCGUUGGUUGAAGAUUGAGGCAAAAUGGGUGGUUCCAAUAUGCUACACCUUUCACAUAAAGUUCUUGGAGAUAUUUGGGUCAAAAUUUGUAAAUCCAACCUCUAUAUUGGUUUAAAGCUCCGUAAAUAAAAAUUUUAAAGGAAUAAAAACAUCUUAAUUUAAAAAAAUAAAAAAUAAAAAUUUGCUUUAGCAUAUAUGAAUGAUAUUUUUAUUUAAAAAAUAUUAUCAUUUUCGAUAUUUAAAAAAAUAAAGAGAAUUGUUUGAAUUAGAGAUUUUUUAAUUAUUUUAAUCAAAUAUCUCCAAUUUUCUUUUUUGUUUUUAUAAUGAUUUUUCAUUAACCAAACAAAAUAAGUAAGAAAUAUUAUCUUGAUAUUAGAAACAUAUUUCGGGGCAAUACUCACAAUUUUUUAUACAUAAAUAGGAUAUAUUAAAUUAGUAAAUUUUAAAUCUAUUCAAAUUGAUUCCAUUGUCAUAUAGGUUGAUUAUUGGGAUUUAAUUAUUACUUUUGAUCAACGAGAAAUUAUACAAGUCAUAAUUCAAAAUAUAUUCAAUCACACAAGAAUAUAAAAAAUAUUCGAAAAAACUCUUACAAAAAUUGUCUCCGCCAAUUUAGAUACAAAAACUUAAACACAAUAUUAAAAAUCCACUAAAUAUAAAAGAAUGUACACAUUUUACCUAACCCCAAAUACUUCUUUUUAUAAAUGUUAUAUCAAUCAACACUUAUGCGUAUUCAUCAUAUCUACAAUGCAAUAUUUUUCUAUGCUCCUUAAUUAGUGGAUCUGCUCAAACCCAUAUUAUGGCUUUGGAGCUCAAAUUUUCGAACUUUGCUUUUCAUGCUAAUUGAAAGGACUCUCAAGAUUUACUUUUCAGACUUGAUUUUGACUUUUUGAAGUAUAGGAACUAGGAAAAAUAAUGGUUAUCUUGUGGAAUUUCUUAGGGGUUUUUUUUAUUUCAUACCCCAAAAUGAAUUUUUCAAAUCCUUUUCAUACCUAAACCUUGGUUUUUUUUUUUUUUUUUAGUUUUAUCAUAUUUUAAAACUUAAUCUAGAAAAAUAAGAAUUUUCAAUCAUCAAUUUUCCCAAAAAGAAAAAAAAAAUCUAGACAAAAACACCUAAAAACUUAAGUUACCACUAAAUUAUUAAUUUUAUAACACCACUAUACCAUUUUUAAUUUCAGACUCAGAACAUAAUUAUAUUUUGAGCUUCAAAUUUUGUGUCUUCAACUUGAAUAUGUUAGUAUAAUACUCAUUGUAGUGAAAGUAGUCUUGAUUUAAUAAUCUUAGGAGUAAAAUUGUCACUCCAUUGUAAUACACUAACAAAGUUAAUACCAUAUAAAAAUAAAUUUAGAAACAUAUUUUAUAUAAAAAAAAUAGUUCAAAUUUUGGAAAAGUCUAUAGCACUAAAUUAAUAUGAAUUAAAAUUCAAAUUUGGACCCUUUCAAUUGUCCAAUAAAAUUUUUGUAUUAAAUGAAAGGACAACUAUAUGAAACCAGAUUACAAACAAAGGAGACCAAGGUAUUAAAUAAUGGGACCAAAGUAUAAAGCAAUAACAUUACUAAGGUACAAUGCAAUGGGACCACAUUAGAGAUACAGAGUAAUGAGAUCAAAUUCUAGGUUGAAUAUUGACACAAAAGGUAGGUGUGUGGACCCCGCAUUUUCGCUCAAUGCGUUCCCACUCGAUUGCGAAACUUGUUUUUUUAUUUAUUUGCUGAAAAUUUUAUUUUUUUGAAAAAGACCUAGAGUUACUGCUUAUUUAUGUUUUAUUUUUAAAGGAAAAAACAAAAUAAGAAAAAAAAACCCUAAGUGUGACUUUGGAAGGAAAAAUAGGUCGGUGAAAAAUCGAGUUCGAGUCCGAGGGUCAGGUUACCUAUUAAGAAGGUACGGUGGUGAACUGUAACACUCCUCUAAGCCCUAUAAUAAGGUCUCUACUAAAUAAGGUGAAACAAGUGUGACAAUUGAUAAGGAAAUUAAUGGAUACGAAUGAAAUGAUAAAAUAAUAAAACAAAUCGAGCAUGAGAAUAAGCAAAGUGGGAGUGAGAGAGUACCUUGACAACAAAUAAUAGUGCACUAUCAUGGAAACAAGGUUAGCUCAAGUAUAAAAUUAUCACAUGCAUAUCAAAGAGCAAGACAAAGAUCAAACGAUAUUCAUUAAGCAUAGUAGUUGACAAUCGGAAGAUAUCAUAUGUAGGGCCCCCACCAAAGCCCAAUUGAUUUUGUUUGAAUUAAUCCCACAAAUUCCAGUGUUUUAGAAUUAUGAGAAUUGUCUUCAUGCUUAUUAAAAAUCAAGGAAAGCAUUUUAAAAUCAAGGAAAAUUUGUGAAAGUGCUUAUUUGAAAGGAAAUGUAGCAAGUUUAUUUAAAACGAGAAUUUUAGUGACUUAAAAUCCUAAUGAAUGAUGAAAAAUGGUAGAAUUAAAAAAUAUAUAUUUGAAAAUUGGAGUCAAAUUAAAAUUAUUUGAAAAACUAAAAUUUGAAAAUUAAGUCUCGAAAAUUAUUUGAAAAUUGAAGUUUUGAAAAUUAAAUUUAAGAAUUAGAAUUUUUGAAAUUAAAUUUGGAAAUUAUUUGAGAAUUGGGAUUUUGGAAAUUAUAUUUAAAAACCUAAGCUUUGAAUAUUAAUAUUUGAAAACGUGAAUUGGGAAUUGAGAAUUUUUGGAAAAUUUAUUUUAAGAUGACAUUUUAAAAAUUAAAUUUGGAAUCUAAGAAUUUUUGGAAAAUUUAUUUGAAGAUGGCAUUUUAAAAAUUAAAUUUGGAAUUUUGAAAAUUUUGGAAAUUUUGAAAAAUGGUAUUUUAAAGAUUAAAUUUGGAAAUUGGAAUUCUUGGAAAUUUUGGAAAUUUUGAGAAUUGAAGUUUUGAAAAUUAAAUUUAGGAAAUGGAACUUUGGAAAUUAAAUUUAAGAAUUGGAAUUUUGAAAAUUAAAUUUGAAAGAAAUUGGAAUUUUGAAAAUUAUUUGAGAAUUGGGAUUUUGGAAAUUAGAUUUAAAAACCUAAGCUUUGAAUAUUAAUAUUUGAAAACAUGAAUUGGGAAUUGAGAAAGAGAUGAGGGCAUUUAAAGAAAAUAAAAAAGAAAAUUGGCCCAUCAAAUGCUAAUGGUAUAUGCAGUGGCUUCAUAUAUUUUAUAAUAAGUUGUGUACAAUCAAAUUGUACUUUGUUGACUUUAUUUUUUUCUUUUGCUUCAUUUGAUCCAACCUUGUCUCUUAUUAUACUAAUGUUGUGGAUACCACGAAUUUGUGUAAGCUAAAUGAUGCAUUGGCCCACAAUGCUCGUAGCCCCACUUUGCACAAUAGCAUCAUUUGGACUUAGAUUGGCAAAGUCUUCAACCAUUCUUAGUGCGGUCAAAGGAUUAAUAAUAACAGUGGCUGCAUAUUCCACUCCUCCAAGGGAACUUCCCUCACCUGCUCACACAACGCUUCACCUCCGCCUCCGGUAAAGGCUUACAGUCCAUCAGUUAUCAAUUUGUUUUUCAUAGGCAAGUGAAAAAAAAAAAGCAAAAGACAAAGAAAAAUGGGUCUCCCCGAAUCCGAAUAUGCUUACCAUUUUGAAUUAAAAUAGGAAAAACAUAAAAAAAAAAAAAAAACAAUUGCCACUUUUGGGUUGUUUCAGCGUGAAACUGAAGUUGAAUAAUGGAGGUGAAAGCUGAAAACCGAGAGGUAGCCAUUUGGGCUAUGAAAAUGAUUUAUAUAUUGGAUUAGUUUGAGGGUUGGCCAUUUAAACCAUGCACUGUGAACUUUUGCACCUUUCUCUUUGGCAGCUUGAGCCAACCAACUUACAAAAUGACAAAAAAUGAAACAAUGAUUCCAUGAGUUGUGUGUGUGCAGGUGGGUAAGAGUUGAAGGCAGAGCAUGCGCUCUUGCAGGCCACCACCCGCCUGUUGUCUUGAGAUCUCACUUGGAAACCCACCGGACACAUGGUGUUGAGGAGGUUGAGGUUGGAAAGAUGAGAUGUGGGGAUAAAUUAGGCUGGUGAUACACACAACACUAUACACUAGGAACACCCACCGAAAAUAGAGAAGAAUAACAAGAAAAGAGAGCAUCCAAAAAAAGGAAAAACAUAACUGCACCAGUGUUGACCUAAGAGCUCCUCCAAAAAAAUCCAAAUAUCCUUCCUAGUUGCUACCCGUUUUCUUGUCCUAUGCUUAGUUCAUUCCCCUCUUGCUUCCCCAGAAAAAUCCGUAGACCCUCACCCCCCCAACUGCCCUAAGAACCCACUCUCCAGAUUUUUUCUUUCCUAGCCUUCCGAAACUGAAAAUCUCCUCUACUCUUCCUUUGUUUUUCUCCCUAGAUAUCACCUUUCCUCUCACCCAUUCCAGUAGUCCCUAUCCACUUAGCCAGUACCCCAACCACCACCAUGGUGAGUUGGUGGUGUCCUUGGCCAUGCGUCCCAUGCAUGUGGCUCCUUCGAAAACCGGCCCCCCACUCCAAAAACCAAUUGUCAGCUCUCUCCUGCAUGGUGAAAAUGUGCUCCAAAAAUAACCAAAAAGACCUAGACCAAAAUGAGGGUCUAUAAGGUGGUUCUACAUUUCUCUCAUUUUAACUUAAAACAAAGAAUAAAAAUAUGAUUUAUAUUAUGAAAGUUUAGAACUUGCUUAUGAAAUACUUAGAGGCAAAUAGGUAGCUCUUUUUUUUAGCUCAAAUUUUUAUUUUUAAAUUUUUCUUUAAGUAUUAUAGAUAAAAUAAAAAAAUUCAAUGGCACAAAGAGAACCAUUUACAUGGAAAACCACCCAUAAAGUCUCCCAAAAACUUUAAAGAUGUGAAAACCAUGAGGUCAAAGACCAUAGUGAUAUAAUCCACUAAAUAAGAAAAACAGGUAUUUAUUUUUACUUUAUGGUUACUACUCCCUCAGACUUACUCCUCACAACUACAUUAAAUGUCAUGUCCAUGACAUAGCACCAUCGUGCUCCUCAAUGGACUCCUCAACACCUAGCAGAUGUGAUUCUCUCUCACAACCCUAAAAAAAAAAAUCACAAUCAAUAUGAAAGUUUCAUAUUCAGUGCACAGAAAAAAAAAAAAAAAACUUAAACCUUAUGCGUAUAAGUUCUUUGGAGAACUCUCCCAGUAGAUAUAUAUUAGAGAAAAUCUAGUGGACUUAGAAUUAAUUUAUAAAUCAUAUUUUAUCAAAAAUUAAUUUAGGAACUUAAGAAUCUUAGAAAGAUUUGGAAAGAUGUUUUUUUUUUUUUAAAAAAAAAAAAAACAAUUUAGGAAAUUUAAGAAUCUUAAAAAGAUUUUAUUUUUUUCAAUUAAAAAUAUUUAGAAAUAUUUUCUUUUUUAAAUUCUCAAUUUAAAAUUCUUUCAAAAUUAAUUUUAUGCUCAAUUUCCAUUCUUAUAAGUCCACUCUAUGUCUUUUAUAUCAUUAUUUUUAAUUAACUCAAUCAUACAUACCUAUUUAAUUCUAGGUUGAUUUUGUUAGCAACCUUUAAUCUUCAAAAUAUAUGUAAAUCACAAGAAAGUAUAUAUAGUCCUAAAACCAAAAUGGAUGGAAUAAAAUUGUCAACUUAAUCUAAAUAAUCUAAUCCACUAGCAACCUCCCCUUCUCUAGCAAUUUUUUGACAAAAUAAUGAUUACAUAAAUCUCCUAAUAUUCUCAAACAAAGUUUACAAAUUGCUUAUCAAUGUCACUCAUCUCAACCAAACAUCUUAUAAAUUGAUUUUCAAUAUCUACAACUCAUCUAAAAAAUUCUUGAAAUCUAAAACAUGUAAUUUUCAUAUUCUUAAUCAAUAAAACAUGUGAAAAGUAGUGUGUGUGAAAAAAACCAAUAAAAUAAUAUAAUAUGAUCACAAUCCAUCUUGCUUGGAAAAAUAUUUAUAUCUAAUUCAACUAGAAAAAAAAAGGAUAUCUUCAUUAAUAAAUAUUAAUACAAAUUAUCAAUUAGAUAUCAAAAUAAUCAUAUGAAUUUCUCCCUCCUUUUGUUCUUAAAUUACUAAAAUAUUCAUUUCUAAUCGUGUAAGUUUCACUUAGGGCUAAUAGAGUGCCAAAUAUGCAAUUCCUGCGGUAGAGGAGGUGACAUUCCAUAGUAGUGUGUGAUUUCAAAAUUGAGCAAAAUUUCAAAAUAAUUUUCAAAAUCAAGUUGAAUUUAUGAAACCACCAUUUCAACUUCAAAAUGGUCCUUCUGCUCUACCUAGUUGCCUUCUAAUGGCCAUAACCUAUUUGUUUUAGUUUUGAUUUGUGCACCAUUUGAAAUGUUGAACUCUUAACCUCUUAAGCUUCAAAACCAUAUAUAGCUUGCCCCAAAAAGAUCUUGGAAAGUGCUUUAAAAAUCAUGUCAAAUUCAAGGUAUGUCAUAUUGUUAUUGUAAGGUUUAAGUCUGAAAUUCCAUAUUAAGCAUGAUUGUAAUUAUUUCAAACAUUCUUCCUCAUGAUUGUUUGCCCUCUACCUCUAUCCAAAACAUUAGUUUUUCAUCUUUAAUGCUCAUAAAUUCCUUGUUUUUCCUUUGCCUUCUCAUGCCUUAUAAGUGUUGAAUCUCUCUUUAAGCAUAAUUGAUCUUAUACUCUACUUUGGAUGAAAGUGGCUUUAGCAACUUGUAUUCUUUUUCUCUUUCAAACCUGAAAUUAAACUCAAAAUAUAUGUUAGAUCCAUAAUUUAGGUUUUAACAUCAAUUUGAGUUAAGUUGGAUGAUGUGAGUUUUUUAUAUUGCAUAAAUCAUAUCAUAUAUGUGUUAUUAGAUCACAUAUUUUGGCUCCAAUAAACCCCCUUAAGAGUUUAAGGCUUGUGGCUUUAUCCAUUAUGUCUUCCAAAACGAAGAACCCUAGUCUCCAUCUUUAUGGAAAGGAUUUCACCAUUAUUACCUGUCAAAGUCCAAGUGAGAGUUAUCAAGUAGAAGAUUGCAAGGUAUUUGAGACUUACAUCAUCUUUUUUUUCAUUUGGAUUUUGGUCUAGGAACAUCUAGAUCAAAGGUAUGUUUUUUAAACCCUAGAUCUAUAGUUUUUGAAUUAUUAUCACUUUUGUUGUGUAGAUCUAGUGAGCCUAGAUAACUAAAGAGGAUGCACCUAUGAUCUAGGGUUAUCCAAAUGGGUUUAGUGCUUAAUGCCACCCCACCCUUUUAGUUCAUUAGUUUAAAGUCAGCAAACAAGAGUGAGUGUUGGGAUAAAGUUUGAAAUGCACAUACAUAAAGUUUAAGUCCAAUAGAUUCUCAUGUUCACAUAUAAUUGUUAUAAUCAAAAUGACACAUUUAGAAGAUAUUUCCCCAAGUUGUACCAUGAAAAGGUGGACAAAAUAUUUUUUUUUAAAAAUCUAAGAUGUAAUCAAAUCAUGCUAAGCACAAUGAAAGUGAUACUGCUUCACAAUCCAUAUGCUUUGGUGUUUUGAGCUCUCUAAGAAAAAAAGAUGGUUUAUUUUGCUUCACAAAUACAUCAAAGUUUCAUGGAUACCAAACAUCAAAUAUAUUGAUAUUAUUUAGAAUUAAUGAGCUUUUCAAUAUUACAUCUUAAAGGGAAGAUCAUAUAUCCUCAAAAAUGGGCAUAAACACACUCAUUCUAUGAACCUAGAGAAUUACCUUUUUUGGGAUCUAAAUAAUGUGAAGAAUAAAGAGAACCUAGGUGGCUUAAAGGCCAAACUACAUAAACCAAAAGAUGUGGUAAAUGUAGAAUGCAUGUCACACAAUUUGAAAAUGGCCAAAGAUGUAAUCAAAUACAAAAUUUGAAUAGCAAUAUCACCUUACAAGAUGAGUCCCUCAAUUUACAUAUACAAGUUGACACAUCAAAUGAGAAGGAUCAUGCUGAUAUUCUAGAACAUAGUAUGACUUGAGUAAUAACCUUUAUUUUAUUUAUUUAUUUAUAUAUACUUAUUUCACCAUUAUUUAUAAUGAUUUGGAGUAUUUAUGUAACUCUCAAAUUGUAUCUACAAGAUCACAUAUCUUUUUUUCAUGAAAAUAUGAAACUAGAUCAACAUAUCGACCAUUGAUUAGUUUACAUGUUCUGUUUGACUAAUCAAUUACAAUUAUUUACAUAGAUUAUUGUGAAGUUAAACAUAUAACUUAUAACUCAUAAGAUAUAAUUAGCAACUUAUGUCCUAUAUGUAGGAUGUGUAUCCACUUCACAUUGAUAACACUAUUGCUACAAUGGAUUCACAAGCAUUUUCUUCCAUAAAUAAGUUGUUCUUAAUUAUUUUACUCCUAUUUAGUAAAGUAUGAUAUUAUUGUAAUACAUGGAUUUAUUAAUAGUAUAUAUUAUCCAAAAUGAAUUUUUUUUUAUAAGUCAAAGCGGAUUAGGCCAUUGUAUUAUGCAAACAAAUAAGAGCAUAAAAAAUAGUGUUUUAAAAAGCGCAUUUCAGUACUCCCUAUGGCAGAAUAAAUUGAGUGGAAUUCAACUCUUAGGGGUAGAAUUUACCUAUGAAUAAAGUUAAAGCACUAUGUCAUAGCAACCUAAGAUUAAAAAGUCUACAGGAAGUGUUAAAAUAUAGCAAGUAUUUAUAACACCUACUAUUGAUUUGAUCAUAUUGUUCCCUAAAUAGUGAAUUGCUCUAGAGAGUAGUUUUCUAUAUAUAUAAGUGGAAUUAAAAAAAAAUGAAAGUAAACACAUUUGAUAUGAAAUUGCUUUACUUAGCACUUUGGAGAUCAAUAGGAAUGAAAUUUAUAACUAUUGAUACUCAUUCUUCUUUAUCAAAUCACCUCUUAAAUAAUGAACUGCUCUAAUAAUCAAGUUUCUAAGUAGGUUAUAUAUAUAUAUAUAUAUAUAUUGAGAGAUAGAGAGCAAAGCACACUCAUUUGAUGAAAGCAAUCUAUAGAGUGUUUAAGAUAUAACUAUAUUGGAAUUCUUGAAGAUUGUCUUCAUUUCCUUCUAUCUUGAACAACUUAAUUCAAAAUUGACUCUAAUUUAUUUAUAUUACUUUCAUAAUAAUUAUUUAUUUAUAGGUCUCAUUUCUUUGGCAAAAUAUGCUUUAACCCUCAUAGGUUUUAAAUUUUAUCAAAAACCUCCCUUAUUUUGAGUGAGAUAGGAGAUUAAUGAAAAGCUAAAAGAGGUAUUUGAUGAAAUUUCAAACCUAUAGAGGUUAGGUGUAUUUAGCCAAAAUCUCGAGAGAGAUUAAUGAAAUUAACUCCUCUUUCAAUUAUACUUUAUUCCCAUUUAUUCAUACAUUUUGUGGCAUUUUGAUUCAUCUAAUUUUUUUUUCUAUUCUUUGAUACUAUUUUAUCAUACCUUGAAUUUAUUCUUUUGCACCUUCAAUAGUUUUAUUGAAAGUUGACUUCUAUCACUUCAUUAUAGCCUAGUCCUAUCUCUUUUAAAUUUGGUUCAAUUAAUUCACAUGUCUAUCUCAUUUCGUAGUAGUUAGUUCUAUAUAUUUGUAGAUUUAUCUCAUUGUUUAUAUGUUCAUCCUAUUUGUUCAUACAUCAAUCUUAUUUAUUUAUGCUUUGCUCAAUUUUAUUGAAAUUUGGCUCAUUUAAUUGUAUGUAUGUUUCAUCUAUUCCUAUACGACUCAUUUUUAGUAAUUUCAUUAUACCUUGACAUUUCAAGAUUUUCAAGUGUCUUACUGAUUUCUAUGCGAGCGUAAAUAAUUAGCCCUAUUUUAUCUUUUAUUUAAUUCACUUUUAAGGAAUUAACAUUUCUCUUAUUAAAUUUGUAUUCAAAUGCUCAAACAAUGGGUAAUAGAAUACUCUAUCAAAUUAGUUAUAACAAAAUUUUUAAAAUAUAUAUAUAUAUAUAUAUAUAUAUAUAUAUAUAUAUAUAUAUAUAUAUAUAUAUAUAUAUAUUAUUUAUUCAGACAUAUUGUGUGAAAAAUAUAUAUAUUAUGAUUAAUACAUUGAAAAAGAUUUUUUUUUAAAAAAAAUAAAUUAAACGGAAAUCAAUUGAAGGCAGAACCGAGCUUACACAGUAAAGAAAAAAAUAAUAAUUAGGGCUCUAUUUGGUAACUGUUUUCGAAAACAAUUAUGAAAAAUAGCUUUUGAUAAUUGUUUUUGAAAAUUAGUUCAUAAUGUUUUAUAAAACAAAAGUCUGUUUAAAAACCUAAAAUGUUAUAAUCAAUUUUUAAUGUUUUUAAAUAUAUUUAAAAAAUAAUUUUUAUAUGUAUUAUUUUAUUAUACAAUUAUUUCUUAAAACAAUUCUUAAAAAACAAGUAAAAAUAGUUGAAAUAAAUUAAAAGAUAUUUUUAAAAAAUAUUAUAUUUCUAUUCUUGAUAAUAGAAAAUAUAUAAUUUUUUUUUUGUUCGUCAAAAACAUGUUUUACAAAUUUUAUUUUUUUUAAAGAAGAAAAUACUGUUCUCGAAAUUGUUUCCAAACAUACCCUAACACUGUGUUUUGUAAUAUAUCCUAACAGGUGACUCUUUCCGUAUCAGAUUUUACCUUCAAUUAUUUAAAGUAGGGAGAAUUGUGUUUUGGGCCCAAAAAUUAACAUUUGGUCCAUAGAUGUUACAAAUUAAGUCCAACACCCAAACAAAGUCUCAAAAUUGAUAAGAAGGAUAUACAAUGUAUAAUUUGUCGAAAAUGCCCUCUACUGGGUAUUUAAAAAAAAAAAAAACUAAAGUCCACAUUGAAUUUCUCCCUUUGUUUUCCCCAAAUUGGAGUCUGCAUUAGGCAUUUUCACAUUCCUGACUUCGUCCCUCGCUUCCGCCCAAAGAAUUCCCUAAUCCUCUAUGCCAAUCUCGUUAUCUCUCGAUCUCAUCUUUCUCGGCCAUCUGAUUUUAAGUGUCGGCAGUGGAGUUUUUCAUCUCUAUCGAUCCAUUGUCAUUGACGAUCACCACUGGAUUUGGCCUCCAUGGAAAAGUAGUUGAUAGUUGAGGUUAGUAGGUUCAGCAAUUUCAUUUUUUACUUCAUUUCGGCUAUCCAGACCAUUUGAUUUCAGCCCAAAUACAUUGCUCUAAUUUAUCUCGCUAUUUCAAUUUUCCAUAUAUUGUUCCCUCAUCGAUCCCCAUAGAUGGUGCCCUCCAUGCUAAGCAUUGUUGGAUAUUUGAGGUUAGGUGGGACUUUCUGGAGGUUGCUUGCUGUCUGAAUUGAGGAAGGAGCUUCUCUUGCCAUCAGGUAAAGUAGUCUUUUUUUUUAAGCUUAAACCCCAUAACUGAUUUUUUUGGUUUAACUUAUAUUUUUUUAUGGGUAUUUUUUUAUUUAGCAUUAUGAUUAUCAACUCUUUAUUUUGUGUGGAUGACUUGAUCUCCUGAUAGCCAUCUUUCAUUGUGGGUUAUGGUGUUUACAAGACAUGGCUCACAAUUUGAAAUAGUGAGCAUCUUCAUGGGUUAAUUGUAGUUGCAUGUCGUGGUAUCAACAGUUUUUGUUUAGAUAAUUAGGUUUGUGUUCAAUUUACAUGAUUGAUAGCCUUGACAUGCAAAACCCACUUCUUUUUAUUAACCUGUGAUUUCACCAUGAUUGACUUGUUUCUCAAUCAAUAUGAGAACCCGCGAUUGGCAUGAAUGAUAAUGGUGAUGAUGAAGAUGACAUAAAAAUAUAUUUUGAUUUUGUUCGGAUUUUACUUGGUUCAUUGAUGUUUGUUUGAUUUAGCAUUGCAUAUUCAUUUUAGAAGUUUGUUUAAUACGUGUAUUUUAAUUCUAAUAUAUGACUAGUCAAUGCAAAUUGAUUUUCCUUUUGCAGACAUAUUUUUCCUCAUUUGGUUCAAAUCAAAUCUUUUACAUUAUAUUUACUUCCUUGUGUGGCAGUCUAGUUCAGUACGAUAGUUCGUUUGUUAACUUUCUUCGGUAAAACCCAAGUUCUUGUCACCCUAUAGUAUGAGAUACUGUGGGCUACUUAGUAUGUGUAGAUAAAUUAUCAUUUCCAACUUCAUGAAAUCUGUAGCUAACAUGAAUAUAAAUGGCAAAUAAAGAAACAAAUCAGUUCAAAGCUAGUUCAAUGACCCUUAAUUCUAUUAAAUUAGACCAACAACUAGGGAUUUCAUACAUAACAAAUCAAUUAAGGAAUUUCUCAUUGAAAUCCAAAAUGGUUUCCAACAAUCAUUCUAGUGCCCAAACACCUCCUUCCAUGUUUACUAUUCACUGAUGUUGAAUAUCAAACGCAUGCAAGGUGUAUAUUAUUUUCAGCAUACAAUUCAACUAGAAUGAAAUUCAGAUAAAUUUGAAGCUAUCGCUCAAGACCUUUGGUCUCUACCCGAACCCGAUGAAAAAAAUGGGAUCACUUCUUAUGAAACAUAAAUCAUGGAUCCACUAAGUCCUCUCGAGUCAGGGAAAACCUCUGAAAUUAUUUCCAAGUCACUUCUUUUUUUGUCCAAGUUGCUUCAGCAGACUGCCGGUGAUAAGCCGGAGGAAGGUGAGGAUGACGUCAAGUCAUCAUUAUUGAGCAUAAGCCAAAACACUAACCACAUAGCCAUCAUCUGUCCAUUUAUGAGUGUCAAAAGUAAGUGAGAUGUUGCCAUUGGGAUCCAGAGGGUCAUAGCACUCUGCAAAAACAGAGAAAGAGUCAACCAACUUGUUAAAAAACAAAAUAAGUGAAGUAACAAAAAGAAAAGUCUAUGUAUAAAUGAUGGUUGAUAAACUGGACAUGGCGACUAAUAAUAAUGUCAACUUCAAAGAAAAAGCCCACAUGGGAGGAAAGAUCAACCCCAUUUUCUAUAAUAUGCAUAAUUUUUUGUUCUAUAGCUAUAUUUGUAUAGGUUGAUGGACAGAACUAAUAGGAUAUAUUGUUACAAUUUCGUGGGAGGUAAACUUGUCCAAAAAAAUGAUGGGUAAUGGGAAUACGUAGGUGGAAGAAGCAAAGGUAUUCACAUAUAUAAAGGAAUGCCAUUUAAAGAAUUCACCAAAAAAAUCUUAGUGAAAUUUGACAUCUCCUUUGAUGCGAUUAAGAUGCACUACACCCUCAAGUUCAACCCCAGAGUCAUCCAAGAUUUAGAAGAUGAGGAUGACUUGGAUAACGUGGUUUCCCACUGUGAUGACUUUGCAAAUGUAUACCUAGUAGACUUACCCUGCAUGGAAGCCAUUGAAGCAAAUAUACCAAAUACACAGUUGGCAUUUGGGUAAUGGACUUUAACAUGAAUGUCUAUUUAAAAUAUUGUGAAUAUCAAUUUUACACAUCACGUAGUCUAAUUAUGUUAAUGUAUGUAAAUGCAGAGGUCCACUUGCCACGUUUCCUUCCUCUAAUGCAUCAUGCGAUGGAAUUCCUAAUACUAUGAUGCUAUCCAAAGGUUUUGCGUCUCGUCGUGCAGAUAGUGAGUACACCCCUUUGGAAUCGAUUCGUUUUCGUCAGACAAUAUUAAGGUCGGGACAUACAUUUAAAAAUGUUGAGGAGUUUCGGAACAUAAUUUACCAGAUGUCAUUAGGUGAAAGGUUUGAAUACAAGUACAAGAAAAAUUCCCUUACACAUAUGUCUGUAAAGUGUUCAGUUAAGGGUUGUCCUUGGAAGAUAACAGCUCACGCUAUAGAAGAAAAUGUCAUCUUGCAAGUUCAUACUUACCAAGUGAAUCAUAAUCAUAUAGCUUAGGAUGAGUGUUCAUCUAAGGUCAAGGUUUCUUCAAAGAGAGGCACGAUUGUUGUUGAAGAUGUGUUUAGAACCACUCCAGACUAUCUUUCUCAUCAAAUUUGUAAGGAUUUUGAACGUGAUCAUGGAGUUCAAUUGACAUAUAACCAAGCAUGGCACCUUAAAGAGAAGGCAAAAGAGGGCAUAUAUGGAGCUCCAUGUGAGUCCUACAUGUUUGUCCCUUGAUUAUGCCAUAGGCUAAGGGAAAUCAACCCCGACACUAUCACGUAGUACACUUCCCAUGAAGGUCACUUCAUGCAAUUGUUCAUUGCCCACGCAUUUUCAAUUCAAGGGUUCAUCAUAGGGUGUCGACCAGUAUUAGCUAUUGAUUCUUGCCACCUAAGCGGUCCAUAUAAGGGAGCUCUUUUGUCCGCCAUUGCAUAUGAUGCAGAUGAUGGAAUGUUCCCUCUAGCCCUUGGUAUGGCCAAUUCUGAAAAUUAUGAGGAUUGGUAUUGGUUUUUGGAGAAAUUAAAGGAGGUCUUAGAUGUUAAAGAAGUUGUUAUUAUAUCAGAUAGACAUCAGGGAAUCUUGCAUAGUGUUUUCGAGUUGUUCAGGACAGGAAAUCAUGCAUAUUGUUAUCAAUAUGUGAAGGAAAACUUUUCUAACUUCUUGAAUAAGCAAAACAUUAGAGGAAAGAAAGGGAAAGAAGAUGUUUUGUUACUCUUGGACAACAUUGCGUAUGCUAGGUUGGAUAUAGACUACAACGAGGCAUUCCAAAAACUUGUGUGCUUCAAUGACAACCUAGCAAAAUGGGUUGCCGAAAACAAUCCCGAACAUUGGGCAAUGUCAAAGUUUCUUCGAAAACGAUGGGAUAAAAUGACAAUUAACAUUGCAAAGUCCUUCAAUGCGUGGUUAAGAGAUGAGCGUCACCAAACAAUUUAUACGUUAUUGUUAAUGCACAUGGAUAAGCUUGUAGUCAUGUUAAACACCCAUAUGCGUGGUACAGAAAAGUGGAAGAGCAUGGUCAGACCAAAAAUUGAAGAUCAGCUAAUGUCAAAUAUCAUGAGGUAUGGUCUGAUUAGUGUGUUGCCUUAUUUGGGGGGGACGUUUAAGGUGUUUACUGGGGAGGUUUAUUUAGUUGUUGAUUUGAAUCAACGUACGUGUACUUGCAUGACAUGGCAAAUGUCUAGCUUGCCAUGUUCACACAUAUGUGCCGUCAUCCGCACACUGAGACACAACAUGUAUGAGUAUAUUGACCCAUGUUUUCAUGUUUCCACACAACAUUUGAUUUACUCGGGUCAGUUUCAACUAUUACCAACACACAAUAUGCCCUAAGUUUGUGACAUUCCUGCUCUCCAACACCCCCAUGUGAGACGUCCUCCAAGAAGACCCCAACAAAGACACAUUGAGUCAUAGUUUAGCCAUAAGAGAGCAAUUCAUUGCUUUUGAUGCAAUGGCAUAGGUCACAACCGGUCUAAAUGUAAUAAUCUGUAGCCAUGACAUGUGCAUUUUUUUGUGCUUGUGUGAUUCUCAUAUUUUGUAUCAUCCCAUACAUUCUAUUGUAGGGUAUAUGGUACGGGGUUGUUGAUUUUCGUUCUUAUGUAUUGGCCUCAUUAUAGGCACAAUGCACUAUUUUGUUAUUUUCAUGAUUUAGAGUUGCUUUGAUUAACCAAAUUAAUUGAAAGUGCAAUUUCAAUGUGGUUUCUGUUCACUUGUUAUUUCAUUCCACCAGUGCAAAUAAAUGAGGAUGACAGUUUGUUAUUAAUUUAUUCACAUAUUGGGGUUCACAAUUCUUGUUUUUUCCAAUCCAAGGAGACUUCCCCUUUCCUUUUCUAAAUUGCCUUAUUGUUAUUUAUUUCAUUUAUUUUAACCUUAUAAAUCUGAAUAUGAUAUACCAUUACCAAAUUUAUCCAACCAAUUAAUGGUACAAAUUGUCAAAUGACCUUCCCCUUUAUUAUUAGCUUCUCCAGGUGACCGAUAACUACUAUAGCACCCAUUUCAAGUUACCGGUUCUUCGAAGGUUCAAGCUUACAACAAUAAUUUCAUUCUUCAAUGGCCAUUGCGGAGGUAAUGCAUUCUUUCUUGUUUUUUAAUUUUCAUCACUUAUUUCGGGGACUUGAUAUUUUAACCUACUUAAGACAGUUACUUGUUUUGGGUGUUAAAGAUUCAUUAUUACUUAAAAAUCCACUAGUAAAUUAUUCAUCCACAUUAAUUUGUUUGUUAGUUCAUUCAAUUGUAUUGUUUUCUUUACCACGUUUAUGUAUUCAUAUUGAUUUUCUUAUUUCUUUGUUGAUUACUUAAAUUCAUGUGUAAGAUACUAAUGAUCUCCAACAAUUUUUUUGUAGGCCACCAGAUUGUUCACACGUUGUUCAUCUUUAAGAUUCCUAAAACUAUGCAACAAGCUCCUAGUUGAGAAAUUGGAUGUGGUUCGAGACCUUCAGUUUGAAGGUCUUCUCAACUUAAACUGCAAGGAGAUACGACAUAAUAUAUGUCUAUGACUAAACUGAGGUCGGCAACUCAUUCCUCUUUUCUCUCAUUUUCUCAUUCCUUCACUUCCCUAUUACACCCGUUUUCAUGUUUAUUAUUAUUAUUAUUAUUAUUAUUAUCAUCAUCAUCAUCAUCAUCAUCAUCAUCAUCAUUAUUUCUUGGUUUGAUUUUAAUAGUAAUUGUUGUUGAAAUUGGGCUUGUGCAUUUAUUUCUGUUUGUGGGCCUUAUGUUCAAGCUUUGUUAAUUAAUAUGACAUUUGGGUUAAUUUAUUGUUGGUGAAUUAAUUUGAAAUUUGUUAAUUUGGGUUUGUGGGAUUAAUUUAGUAUAUUUGGACUAUAUCAAUUGCAUAUUGUUUAUUUGGACUUGGGCUAUUGUUAAUUCGUUAUUUGUUUAGGUUUAUUGGAUUGGGCUUGAAAUAUUAUUUCGCUUAUUAAUUGGUUAUUUGUUUGAGCUUAUUAGAUUGGACUUGAGAUAUUAUUUCUUUUGGCCAUGUGUAGAUAUUAUUUCUUUUUGCCAUAUGUAUUAUUAAUGUGGGCUUAUUAAUUGGUUAUUUGUUUGGGCUUAUUAGAUUGAGCUUGAGAUAUUAUUUUCUUUGGCCAUGUGUAUUAUUAAUGUGGGCUUGUUAAUUGAUGUGAAUUUUGGGCCCACAAGUAGGUGAGAUUUGUUAGAUGAUUUGAAUAUUUGAUAUGAGCUUGGCCAAUUUGAACUAUUUCAUUUGAACAUGGGACAAUUGUGGUGUAUAUUAAAUUGGGCUUGGAUUAUGGAAUAUUAAAUUUAGGCCUAAUGAGGUUUAUCUUAAUUUAUCAUGUUUUGGGUUUGAUUAAUUGAGCUUAUAUUUUGACUAUUAAUUUUGAAACUUUAGAUUAGGGUCUAUGAUACCUGAGAUACUUUUGUUGGGUUAUAUUUAUUAAUUUGAGCACAUUUUUAAUUGGUGAAAAUUAUUGGAAAUUUGAAUUUGGGCUUGAAUAGUUAUUUUGGACUCUACAUGUUUUUGGAUAUUUAUAUUUGUGCUAUUUUUGUUUUUGCAUGGGCCACUCUGCAACCUUAUUAGCUGAGUACGAAUUGAUGACACAUGAAGCUUGUUGUAAGUUUAUUUGAGUACAUAUUUUAUUUCCCACUUUUACUUGGUUUUAUUUUUAUUAGUUCUUAUAAAUAUUUGUUCAUAUAUGUUUAUUUGUUGCGUACAAAAUUGAAUAUCGAACAAAUUACAAAUUUUGUUUAAAUAAGAGGAAUAAUUUAGUAAAUAUGUUUUAAUAAAAUAAUAAUUUUAAAAUAUUCUCCUUAAUAAAAGAAAGUAUUUUUUUAUUUAUUUAAAAAAAUUUAGAAAAAUCCAAAAGAAUUGUUUUUAAUUGAAUUUAAAAAAUUGUUUUUCAUAAAAUUGUCUAAAAAUUGUUUUGUAAAUAAAGUUGUCCCAAAAAUUAAUUUUUAAUAAAAUCGUCCAAAAAAUAUUUUUUUUUUCUUUUUCCUUAAUUAAAAUGGGAUUAAAAACAUUUUUUUAGAAAUAGAGGAUUUAAUUUUUUUUUCUUCUUUUUAAUUAAAAUUUCUUUUGCAAAUAAAAUUGUCUUUUUAAAUAAUUUGUAUAAAUCGCUCUUUUUAAAAAAAAAUGAAAAUGAAUCAAAAUACUUUUGUAAAUAAAAUUGUAAAAAGUCACUCAAUUUUUUUUUUUUUUUGUAAAAGCAAGUAAAAUAAUUUUUGUGGCCAAAUUGAAAUUUUGUAAUAAAUUCUUUUGAUACAAUAAAUGUAAAUAACUUUUUUAAAAAUUGAAUACAAAUGAAAUUAAAUAAAUAAAUUGCAACUUCUUUUUUGUAAAUAGAUAAAUUAGAAUCAUUAAUUCAAAAUUAUUUUUUUUAUAAAAUCCUUUGAAAUUUCUUGAAAACCAUUUUUUUUAAUACCCCUUUUUUAGUUCAAUAAAUCAUAUUUGCACAAUUCUCUUAUUAUUCAUUUCAUGUAUUCUUAUAAUUAGAUUUCAUCACUAUUUUUUCAUAUAUUGAUUUUCAUCAUGACUUGUACAUUGAUUAUUUUUCUUGGUAUCCAUAAUUAAUUAAUUAAUUCCCUUGAUUCGUUUAGUAGAUUUCAUAUGUAUACGGGCUUAGAGGGGUGUUAGGGCUCACCACCGUACCUUUCCAAUAAGAAACCUGACCCCCGAACCCGACUUUGGUUUUCCACAGACCCGUUUUUUCUUCAGGAGUCACACUUAGGGUUUUCCUUUCUUAUUUUGUUUUUCCUUUUAAAAAAAAAAUUAAAAUAAGUGGCGAUUCCAAGUCUUUUUCUAAAAAUCAAUUUUUCACUAAACAAAUAAAAAAGCAAGUCACAUCAUCGAGUGGGAACGCACGUGAAAAUGCGGGAUCCACACCUGUCCAAUUUAAUCUUUAAAUGAUUGAGAAACUAUUUGAAAUACCAAUAUCCAUAUGUAUUUAUUUUUCAUUAAUAUAGGUAAUCAUUUUCAUAUUAAAAGAAAAAAGAAAUCAUUUGCUAUCAACUCUUUCCAUGAUCAAAGCUAAAAAAACUUUAAUUCUAAAUCGUCAUCUCCAUUCCAAUCAUCUUCCUCGUCUUUAUUUUCUUUAUUACAAGACUCAAAACAACUACCUCCUAAUUCAAAAAGCUAUAAUUAGAAUCCUUUGAGUCUAUAUAUUAAUCUCUUCCAUGCCCGGAUGCCUUGAUCUGCAUUGAUGAGAUAUUACUCUUUUCUAUAGUUAAUUUCUUAAAUUCAUACCAACGCAUCAAAUAGUUUGAGACCAUUAAUUUGCUAUUAAGGCAUCGUGGUUGUAGAAAAAAAGAUACAUAUUGCCUAAAAAUUAAUUAAAUUUCCAUCAACUUAUAUCUCAAAUGGAGGGUUCUCCCUAUUAGUGAUUCAAUUGAACAAAUUCUUAUAAAACUUCUUAUGUUUAUUUAUUCCGGUAAAACAAAUUAAUAGGUUUUGUAGAUUUUUAAGCAUAUGGUUUAUUUUAUUAUUAGUCCAGCUCCCCAUAGGAAAAUAUCCGAUUGUGCAUUCAUUGAUCAAUGAGAUUGACAUACAAUUAAAUCCAUGCCCUUGUAAACGUCUUCACUAAAUAAGAAAGAGAGAACACAUUUCCUAGUUUGAAAAGUCAAAUUUCUUAAGAUAUUAUUAUUUGACCAUUGAAAUAAAGCAGAUAAGUUAAUUGGAGCCUACAAUGCACCUUUCCCUUUCAUAUCACUUUGCUGUCCAUCAUGUCUUCGAUAAAACGCCCUAAAGAAAAGUGUGAGGAUCCACCAUCUAUCUUGACUUUUCUACUUAUUUUUUUCAUUUCUUUCCUCUUCUUCCUCACUUCACUAUUAAUAUUCAUUAGGUUCCUUAAUCCAUUUUCAAUCUCAUGAGCACUUACAACAUAAUCACUAUCCUUAUUAUAAUCUAUUUUAAUUUCUAUUGCCAGCCCCAAAUCUUUCACCAUUUGAAAUGCGUUGAUUUGUUGUUCUGCAUACAUUGACCAAGUGGCUACAGGAACACCGUACCAUAUGCUUUCUAGCAAAGAAUUCCAUCCACAAUGAGAUACAAAUCCUCCAACAGCUGAGUGGGCUAAAACUGCUAUCUGUGGAGCCCAUCCAAUCACCUUUCCAAUUCUAGCCGUCCGAUGUAAAAAUCCUUCUGGUAGAACUUCCUCAAUAUUUUCAUAGCCGCUUGAAAAUUCCAUUUUACCCUUUUGGGGAGAUUGGCGAAGGGACCACAAGAAGCGAUGCCCGCUGUGCUCUAACCCAUAUGCUAUCUCCUUGAUUUGAUCCGCACCAAAGCUUCCCAUGCUCCCGAAGCACAGGAAAAUCACAGACGAUGGAGGCUGAUCGUCAAGCCAACUCAUGAUGGUACUGGCAUCUUGUUGACCCCCACCAGAUCCCAUUCGGGUGUUGAGUAUGGGUCCAACGGGAUACACCUCGGGUACUGUACUGCCAGAAAGUGAUUGAAUAGCAUGUGAUUCAAGCUCAAUAAACGUAUUUACCAGAAUACCCUUGACUUCUCUGAAUCUCCUCGUGUGAUACAGAAGCAUCUCAGCCCCUCCGCUUACCUUGUCAAACAUCCAAGCAGGGAAGACCUUACCCGGAACUGAGUUAACCAAAGUCGGAACAUCCAACUCGGCAUCCGAGUCCUUGAACUCAUUAAUAUCCAAGCCCUCAUAAUCAUGGAGGAACUGAACAUGUAACAGGAAGCCAAGAACAGCAGCGCCGGAAGAGAAGAAGAGAUAGGAAGGCACCCCAAACUCAUCGGCCACGUCAAUCAUGUGGGUGCAGAACAUAUCAAUAACGAACCCAGAGAGCCGAACCGAGUUGGAGCGAGUGAGCUCGUGGACGGCGUCUCGGACGAGUGGUAUGUGAACUUUGAGGAAUUCAGAGUAGAAAUGACCAGACGGGGUCGUUUCGGAGCUGACCUCUACAGGAGGAAGUGUGACGAAACGUAUGGAAUCAGAGUCCGUGUCCAUACCAUCAGUGGACCCAAACGGAAACUUCAUGAUGAAAAUCGUGAUUGAGAAUCGGGGGUCUCGCUUAGUAAUCAGCUUUGCAAUCUCCAGUGCAGACGCAAGGUGGCCGAUGAUAGGAAAUGGGAUGAAGACCAGCUCAGUUUGCUCCAUCACUAACUAGCAGUUACUGCAAAGAGAGAGAAAAAAGGGAUGUUUCGAGGGCUUUGCGGUGGUGUCACACUCUUAUACUAGUGGCUGGAUAGUAUUG